AGAAAAUUUCUCGUAACUGCUACACAUUAAACGCGUUUCACAUUUCCACUCUCUUUCUAUAAAUAAAUACGCACAUAAAAUUUCUCACCAUCCAAAAACAAAAUCUACAUAAAAAAUGGCGGGUGAAGAAGCAGUGAGCAACAAGCAGGUGAUUCUGAGCAACUACGUGACAGGGUUUCCCAAGGAAUCAGACAUGAAGAUAAUAACAGGCUCAAUAAACCUUAAGGUGCCAGAGGGUUCAAAAGACACAAUGCUUUUGAAGAAUCUUUAUCUUUCUUGUGAUCCUUACAUGAGAGGACGUAUGAGCGAGCUUGAUAAGCCUUCGUUUGUUGCCUCAUUCGAGUCUGGCGAGGUCAGUUACUUCAAUUCCCAUCUCUUGGUUUCAUAAUCUUUUAUGGUUUUAGAAGGUGUUUUAGGGAAACAUUGUGGUUUUGGUUAGUGGGCAUGAGUCUUUGAAGAGAUUAUAAUGUGUAGGACUAUGCAUGCAAUAAUAAGCAUAGGGGAUCUUGUUAGGAGAAGAUUCUCUUAGCAAAAUAAAAACUUUUAUCUUAUCAAAACAUAUGCAGGGAACUUAGUUAUGAUGUCAUGUUAGCAUUAUCUCUGAGGAUUUGAUUUCUUGAUGGGGAAAGGGGAAUUUAAGGUUACAUUAUUCAGCAAUGUUUUUUUUUUAAAAAAUUAUGUUCAAAUUAUGCAGCCUUUAAGCGGAUAUGGAGUGUCCAAAGUGUUGGAUUCCACGCCUCCAAAUUAUAAGAAAGAUGACUUGGGUGGCGUUUGUUUUUUAACUUAAUGACUUAAAGUGACUUAACUUAAUUAAUUAAGUUAAUUAGAGAUGUUUGUUUUUAUAACUUAAUGUGACUUUUUAAAUAAUUUUGACUUAAUAAAAUAAGCCAAUUUUAUUUACUUUUUACUUAAUAGAGACAUCUGAAUUAAGUCAAGUACUUUCUAAUGUCAAAAAUAUACAUGCUUUAUAAUUUAUUUUUCAUGUCUAUCCCAAAACUCACCCAUAGACAUUUACCCCACAUAAUAAUCUCAUCAUUAUUUUUUUAGCCGUCAUGAAAUCCCUCCUCACUUUGGUAUCAACUCCUCAACUAUUGAAGAUCAAAAUUACAUGCGACAACUUCGAGAUGAAUGGCAAAUCAACUGUUUCAAGCAUCUUAUUCGUUUUUUUUCUUUUUUAUAUUAUAUACGAUAAAAUUUGAAAUUUAUGGUAUUUUAUAUAUUAAAAUUCCAAAAUCAUUAUAUAUUCACUUGAAUAUAGUUUUACUUAUAAAUGUUAAAAUAUUGUGAUAUUUAAUAUAUUAUUUAUUUGACAUUCAAAUUUAAUAAGGAUACAAAUGUAAAAGUACAUAUUUUUCAGUUUUUUAAGUUGAAAAAAGCAAACAACUUAAUAAUUAUUUUUCGAGAUUCAGACGAAAAAACAAACAUAUUAUUCAGAUUCAGACAUUCAGAUCUAUUCAGAAUUUAGACUAAUUCAGGUCUAUUCAGAUUUCAGAUAAAAAAACAAACGCCACCUUGGUCCGGGGCUUAACCAGUUGGGAGGAGUUCAGUCUCAUCCAAUCACCACAACUUCUGAUUAAAAUUCUGGAUACAAGUGUGCCUCUGCCAUAAUUAAUUGACAGGUUGCUAUGUUGUUGGAAGUGCCGGAAGCAAAGAAAAGGUGAGUUUGCACCCUUAACCCUUACGCUCUAAAUAAAAACAUAACACCUUCUGAAAGAAUUGUGCAUAGAGAAUUUUGCAUGUCACAUUAUUUGUGUUCUAACUAAUCAUGGAUAUUUGAUCAUUAGUCUAACUAAAACUGACAUAUUACCACCUAGUUGACUGGUCUUUGAGAAAUGUUAGUUGAUAUAUGCUUGAAAUCAUACUUGUUUUAUUAGAUGAUUAUAUUAACCUGCUUCUUUUUCUUUGUGCUGUUUCUCGUUUGAUUACAUUUUCAACAUUAGGUCGAUCUAUUGAAGCACAAGUUUGGGUUUGAUGAUGCCUUUAACUAUAAGGAAGAGCCUGACUUGGAUGCAGCUCUUAAUAGGUUAGCACGAAUGAAUGCUUUAACCAUUUUUCUCACUUCAUUAUUACAAUGCGCUGAUUGAAGUAAUCAGUGUUGGCUCUGAAAAUGUAACGUAUACUUCUCUGUUUUCAUAAAACAGGACAAACAGUGAUCAGUGAUCUCAUUCGUUACAUUGAUAUUUUCUACCAUUGCCAUACAUAGUAUAAACUAGGAAUUCAGUUGCUUAAUAGAUAUUCAUUUCAGAGGGAAAUUUUCACUUGCAGCUAACAGAAUCAUGUUUGUGAUGUAUGUUUAUUUGGGAAAUGAAAGGAUUUGUUGCAUUAUUUUAUUCCAAGUUUGCUGAAAUCAUAUUUGUUUUCCCAGGUGCUUUCCUGAAGUUAUCGACAUCUAUUUCGAAAAUUUUGGAGGUAAGAUGCUUGAUGCAGUGCUACUCAACAUGAGAAUUUGUGGCCGCAUCGCUGUAUGCGGAAUGAUCUCACAGUACAACUUUGAGAAGCCUGAAGGUGUACACAACUUGAUGCAAGUAGUUGGAAAACGAAUUCGCAUGGAAGGAUUUCUUGCCAGUGAUUUCUACCACCAAUAUCCAAAAUUCUUGGAACUGGUUAUGCCGGCAAUCAAAGAAGGAAAGUUAGUAUAUGUCGAGGACAUAGCUGAAGGCCUCGAGAAAGCUCCAUCAGCCCUAGUUGGGAUAUUCACAGGUCAAAAUGUUAAAAAACAACUGGUUGUAGUUGCUCGGGAAUGAUAUGAUUACUAUAUGCUUUAAAAAGUGGACUUUGCCAUGCACUUUAAAAGCUUAGUGAAGAUGCCUUUGUCUUAUUUUUGAUACAUGUUAUGUUUGUUUGAUCAAGUUGUACUCAGCUAUAAAUCAAAGAUUCAGAACAUGUGUAUGAUACUGGUUUCUAAAUCAAUGAACGCGUUGAAAUGUUAGUGUUUUCACAGGAGAAUGCAAUUUAAUUCAUCAACAAUGUCCCAACAAGACCCUCAGAGCUGUAGCUUGUAAAGUUAAUUACGAUAUUUUUUUGUAAAGUAAAUUACCAUAUUUUUUUCUUUCCAAUAUAUUGCUUAUUUCAUAGAAAGUUUACAUUAAAGUCUCAUGUUUCUUUGAAAGGUAAGCAAGUGUGAACGUUUCAAUCUAGAGCUGGAAAAUGCAUUUCCGGGCAACUUACUUGAUACAUGAAGUUUUCAUCUCUGACCUUGAUGUUUCCCAUAGUUGCAUUCAUUUCAGCUGAUCUAUUUAAUUUUGUUUUCGAAGGAGUGACACAAAAUCUCCUUUGUUAAGGGGAGAAUUUAGAGUGGCUUUGACUGUUAGCAAAUAGCCUAAUGUAAGACUUAACCAACUUCCUGCCCUGUUGUAUGCUUAUGAAUUUUGAUAGAGCUAAGAGUUUGCAGAAGCUACUGUAUUAUUUGUCGUUAGAGGCUGUAAAAAUCAAACACAUUUAAAUUUCAAUGAAAAUUUACUGGAAGUAAAUUUCCUAUGAUCCCACAGGUGACUAAUUAAUGAGAACUUGACAAUGACAAAAGAAAGUCUAUGAACUUUGCAGGCUGGCAUGCCAAUAUUGACUGGGUGGCACCAUCCACCAUCUGCAAGUGAAUAUCAUUGUUGUUUAAUCAACAAGGUGGAGUCCACUGGGACCACACCACAUCGUCAGCCUUAUCUCUAUUCCUCAAUUUUCAGUAUUCCAUACAUCAAACCAAUUUCAGUUUUGUUAUCAAUUAUAAUUUUAUUGUUGGUGACGAUUCUGAUUCCUUUCUGACAAAAGGGAACCAUGGCUGCUGCUGGAGAGAUCUUACUCAACGCCUUCUUUCAGGUACUGUUCGACAGGUUGGCUUCUCGUAAUUUGCUCAGCUUUGUGCGUCAACUCCAAGGCGGGGUUGAUUCGGAGCUCAAAAAGUGGGAGAAAAAGCUGAAGAUGAUUCGGGCUGUGCUCUGCGAUGCAGAGGAGAAGCAACUGACUGACGAGGCUGUGAAGAUGUGGCUGGACGAACUCCAAGACUUGGCUUAUGACGCUGAGGACACUCUUGAUGAGUUUGCUACUCAAGCUUUGGAAAGCAAGUUGAUGGCGCAAAAUCACGAUAGUUCUGGCCAGGUUCUCAGUUUCAUCCCGGCUGGUUUGAAUCCGAAUGCUAUUAUGUUCAAUUAUAGCAUGGGGUCCAAGAUGAAAGAUAUUACUAGCCGGCUGGAGCAACUCUGCCAAGAAAGAAUUGAACUUGGACUGCAACGGAUUACCGGAGAGGCAUCAUCAACUGCUGCUGCUGCACACCAGAGGCCACCCAGUUCGAGUGUCCCAACAGAACGUGAAGUAUUUGGAAGAGAAAAAGAUAAGGCCAAAAUUCUUGAUAUGUUAUUAGCCGAUACCAUAAGUGAUCAUGCUAACUUUGUUGUAAUACCCAUUGUUGGCAUGGGUGGGAUAGGAAAAACAACUCUCGCUCGGGAGGUUUACAAUGACAAAGCCGUUGGAGGUUCCAAGUUUGAUGUAAAAGCAUGGGUUUGUGUAUCUGAUGUCUUUGAUGUUUUGGGCAUCUCAAAGGCACUUCUCGAGUCAAUCACCCGCAGGCCUUGUCUUCUAAACAGUUUAAAUGAAGUGCAGGUUGAAUUGAAAGUAGCUGUGGAUAAGAAAAGAUUCUUGCUGGUCUUAGAUGAUGUUUGGAACGAGGACUACAGCUUGUGGGUAGACUUAAAAGCUCCGUUCCUGGGUGCUGCACCAAACAGUAAGAUGAUCGUCACCACACGCAAUUCAAAUGUUGCAUCAACAAUGGGACCAAUUGAACAUUACAAUCUCAAGAGUCUGUCAGAUGAUGAUUGCUGGUCCAUUUUCAUAAAGCAUGCAUUUGAAUCUAGAGAUCUUAACGCACAUCAAAUUUCAGAAUCAUUCCGCAAGAAAGUUGUUGCCAAGUGUGGAGGCUUGGCCCUGGCAGCAAAAACACUCGGAGGCCUUCUGCGUACGACGAGGCAUGAUGCGUGGGAUGAUAUAUUAGAGAGCAAAAUAUGGGAUUUACCUCGACAAAGUGGGGUUCUCCCAGUAUUAAGAUUGAGUUACCAUCAUCUUCCUUCUCAUUUGAAAAGAUGUUUUGCUUUUUGUGCCAUCUUUCCAAAAGAUUAUGAAUUCACUGAGAAGGAGCUGACUUUCUUAUGGAUGGCUGGAGGUAUUAUUCGACAGUCAAGAAACAAUGAGCAGCUGGAAGAUUUGGGCAGCAAGUGCUUUGGUGAUCUAGUGUCGAGGUCAAUUUUUCAGCAAACAGCAAGCUCUGAUAGUUCUAAAUUUGUAAUGCAUGACCUUAUUCAUGAUCUUGCUGAAUUGGUCUCUGGAGAAACCAUAUUCAGGUUAGAGGAGGCCAAUACUCUGUCAAGAAGAUUUGAAAGGGUUCGCCAUUCUUCCUAUGCUUGUGGUGGAUGUGAUGGUAAAAAUAUGUUCGUGGUUUUCAAUGAAAUUGAACAUCUACGAACAUUCUUGCCAUUACGCUUACGCAUAAGAGGUGGCUCUAAUACUAGUUACAUAACUCGUACGGUUCUAUCUGAUUUGCUGCCGAAGUUCAAAAUGUUGAGAAUGCUAUCUUUACAAGGAUACCGUAUUGGUGAGUUACCAAUUCCAUUUGAAGAUUUGAGACUACUAAGGUUCCUCAACCUUGCUGACACUGACAUAAGAAGUUUACCUGAGUCAACAUGCAAAUUGCUGAACUUGGAAAUUUUGAUAUUAAGAAAUUGUUCCUAUUUGAUAAAGCUUCCGCAGAAAAUGAGGAAUUUGAUCAAUUUACAUCACCUCGAUAUAAGAGGUGCGAAGUUGCUGAAGGAGAUGCCAUUCGGAAUGAAAGAGUUGAAGAAGCUUCAAACAUUGUCCAAUUUCAUCGUGGGCAAGGGCGAAACUGCAUCUGGUUUGGAAGAUUUAAAAUGUUUAAACUUUCUUGGUAAUGAACUUUGCAUUGCUGGAUUAGAGAAUGUGAAUAAUCCACAGAAUGCAAGAAGAGCCGCAUUAUGCGAGAAGCUCAAUCUUGAAGCAUUGACUCUAGAAUGGGGGUCUCAAUCUGACAGUCCUCGAGAUGCAGUACCAGAAGAGAAUGUACUUGACACUCUACAGCCGCAUAAACGUAUAAAAGAGCUGGCAAUCAGACACUAUGGUGGUGCAAGAUUUCCACUUUGGAUCGGAGAUCCUUCAUUCUACGAGAUGAAGGUCCUUAAAUUGGAGAACUGUGACAAUUGUGUAUCUUUGCCGUCGCUUGGCCUGAUGAGUUCACUUAAGCACCUUGCUGUUAAAGGGCUGAAGAAACUAAAAAGCAUAGAGUCUGAGGUUUAUGGGGAGGGUUUCUCAAUGCCUUUUCCGUCACUGGAGAUUCUAAGUUUCGAGAAUUUGCCAGAAUGGGAGCAUUGGGACACCGAGAUCAAAGGAAAUGCGCCUGUUGAUUUAUUUCCUCGUCUCCAAGAACUUUCCAUUGCAGAAUGUCCCAAACUCUCUGGACAACUGCCUGAGCUCCUGCCUUCCUUGAAGACACUUGUUGUUAGUAAAUGUGAAAAGUUGGUAGUUCCAUUGUCUUGCUAUCCAAUGCUUUGCAGAUUAGAAGUUGAUGAGUGCAAAGAACUAGUCUGCCGGACUCCGAUUGAUUUUAAGUUGAUAAAGUCCAUGACUAUUUCAAAUAGUUCAUUAGACAUGAAUGGACGCAAGGGGAUGUUAUACGAUGGUCCAGCUGGCUCUUCACUGCCAAACCCCAUGACUACUACAAAUGUUUUAGAGUUUGGAAAAUUAUUGAAGCCUGGAUUUCAGAUAUUCGAAACUUUGGUAAUUGGCAAUUCUGAACAGCUCAAGUUAUGGAGGCAGCAUGGGGAUUUUCCGAAAAAAUACAUGGUCACUGACCAUGGGUUCAAGAAACCAGUACGAGGGCUGAAUAUGCUCGCUUCCCCUGAAGAGGUAACAAUUGAAGAAAGUUGCGUACGUCUUGUUUUGAUUCCAGAGAUCAAUUUCCUUCUCAGAAAUCUGCGCUCUCUUAUAAUUAACAACAGCACUGCUUUCAAAUCCUUACCCGAGGAAAUGAUGGAAAACAAUUCACAACUCGAAAGAUUGUAUAUCAGAGAUUGCGACUCUCUAAUAUUCAUCGCAAGACGGAGGCUACCAGCAUCUCUUAAAAGGUUUGAGAUAGGAAAUUGUGAGAAAUUGCAACGUCUGUUCGAUGAUGAAGAGGAUGCUUCUUCUUCUUCUUCUCCUUCAUCCUCGUCUUCCCCAGUGAUGCUGCAACACCUGAGUAUAGAGAACUGCCCAGAGCUCACCAGUUUAUCAUCGGGUGUCCAAUUCCUUGAGGCGCUUGAAGACCUCGUGAUACAGCAGUGUCGAAAGCUGGAGUCAAUACCGGAUGGCCUGCCCAAUCUUAAAUGUUUACAGAGCAUUAAUAUACGGGAAUGUCCAAGUCUUGUUUCCUUAACAGAAAGAGGGCUUCCCAACACCAUUUCAUUUGUUUACAUUUGCAGAUGUGACAAGCUCGAAGCCUUGCCCAAUGAUUUGCACAAACUCAGCUCUCUUCGAGAAUUAUUCAUACAGCUCUGUCCAAAUCUUGUAUCGUUUCCAGAAGAAGGUUUUCCUACCAAUCUAACAACACUUGUAAUUGGAGAUUUCAAAAUGUAUAAGACACUCGUCCAGUGGGGGUUGCACAGGCUUACCUCUCUUAAACGCCUCUGGAUUGCUGUACGUGAUGAUGAAGCAGAGUGUUUUCCAGACGAGGAGAUAGGAAUGACGCUGCCCACCUCUCUCACUGAUCUGCACCUUUUUGAUUUCGAAAAAUUGAUAUCUCUGUCUGCGACGGGUUUUCAGAGUCUCACCUCUCUUCAGAGUUUGUGGAUCGGGAAUUGCCCGAAUCUCACAUCAUUUCCAGAGGUGGGCCUUCCAUCCUCACUUUUGGGCUUAGACAUUAGAUAUUGUCCAAAGCUUAAAACAGCGUGCAAAAGAGAUGAAGGAAAAGAGUGGUCCAAAAUUGCUCACAUCCCUCACGUUGAGAUAGACGGUAAAUUCAUAUACGAUCCAGAAGCAGAGGAGUAGGUUCUACUAUUAAGGUCAGUUGAUUUGUAUUAUCCGCUAUAACAAGCUCCUCCUUUUUUAUUUUUUUUAAAAAUAAUAAUUUUGCAGUCACUCACGUGAUUCCGUUUUCACAAGUCAGAUUGUAUGUUGAGGCUAUUUGCCUUUUAAUCGCAGAUUAAAUUAUAACACUUAUCUUAAAAUUUAAUACCAUACACAGAUAGACGAUUUUUUAAUCCAAAGUUUUUUUUAUUCACUUCAGUUAGCAUUUUUUUUUUCCCCAAAUCAUGCAAGCCGAGAGUUUCAAUCAAGAAUUGGAGGAUGUGAAUGGGAUUUUUGUGAAAGAGUAACAUAAUGGAUGAACGAACAUUUCAUAUGUGAUCUCAAAGUCAACAGAAUUUUAUUCACUCGUUGACUUUUCAACUGCUGUGGUUAUUUAUGGGUGAAAGAUAAGGGCAAUUACAAAAAAUUUGCAAAAUUUGUCAAUUUCUUAGAUGGUAGAAAUUGGAGUAUAAUAUUUUGGAGCAAGCAUACUUGAAAUUUCUGUCUUCAAUAUUUUGAUGCUUUCUUAUCCCAUGCACAAAAGUACUAGAAAAAACUAAUAACAACUAACCGAAAAUCCCAGGCGUCAUAUUCCUUUUUACCGCGUUUUAAAAUGCACAACAAUGAUAUUCUUACAAAUUUGCAAAAUUUGUCAAUUUCUUAGAUUUCAGAUAUUUUAAUGCUUUUUUUAAUUUUUGAUCUAGUAAAAAUACAUAGCCUUCACCGGCAGGAUUCUAGUCUUGGCUUUCACCUCUCUAACUCAUCUGUUCCCAUUGGGAUUCCAGAAGCUAGAAAAAUGUGUAGUUUUCAGAUAAGGAGGCUUGUCAGUUCUCUAGUAAGAAUCCAAUGAUUUGCUUUUGAACGUCCAUCUAAUUUGUGGAUCCUUGCAUCAGAAUUUGAUCAAUCCAAAAGGAAUUGCUUUUAGACAGAAGAAGAAUAGCAGCACCUAGCCUACCCGCAAACCUGAAACUAUUAGAUUGAGGUAAAAAAAUCAUUGACCCUCACAUGUUAACUUCUUCUAGUUACUUUCGUUGGGAAAAAAAAAAACAUUUAAGGAAUUUGCAAUUUGUUGUUAGUUAUGGUAUCUGAUGUUCUUUUCUGCUUUAGCAUUUGUAGAAUCUACUGUAUUAUGUGUUGGCAGUUGCCGUAUCUGAGGUAACUUGCCUUUAUUUGUUUGCUUCUGACUUAAGGACACCAACAUUUGCCAGAGAUUUAGAGAAUCAUCUCAAAACACUUAGCAAACUUGACAAACUUCAAGAUGCACUUGCCCCCACGCCUUAUUCUCAACAACGCAAAACUUGUGAGUACACCUAUGCCUGCAAUUAUUGUGAAGUGUUCGCAAUUCUGAUGCAGAGAAAUGGUUUCUUGAUGCAAAGUAUUAAACUGUUAAGAUUUAUCCUGCAGGCUUGUUAGAUGCUGGAUACGCGAAAAGCCAACAACAUCAAGAACUGCAACUCCAAGACCAGCUUUGCGUUAAUUCAGUCAGCUGUAAUAAUGAUGCAAAUGACACUAUAUCAAGCUGGACUUAGAGACUAGUCAGAUAAAUCAUCCAUUUCAUCAACGGUUAAUGUCAUGAUGGUGGCUAUCAGAGGAAACAAAAGAUGUGUCGGAAUCUAUACAAACAUUGAGAAGCAUGAGAGGAGCUUUGAUUUUGAGUAGGGUCAAUGAACUCAUAUUGGUAAGUGGUAAUUAAAGAAACUUUGUAAGCUUAGUAGAGUUUCAGUAUUUUCUGUUUGGAGUAUAGUUGAUAAGUUGACUCUGUUUAAGAAGCCCGAUUAUAGUAGCUGACUGUAUUAACCUUUUUUUUUUUUUUUUUGGGUCUGCUGUUGUUUUUGGUUUCGAUUAUUUUUUCAACAUUGGGUUGAUCUGUUGAAGAACAAGCUUGGGUUUGAUUAUGCUUUAACUACAAGGAAGAGCCAGACUUGGAUGCAGGCGUUAAGCUUUUAAUGGGUAAGAACAAAUGAAUGCUUUAACUAUGUUUCUCACUUAUUAAAAUGCACGGAUUGAAGGCAUCUGGGUUGAUCCUGACAAUGUGAUGGAAAUACUUCUCUGUUUUCAUAUAACAGGACAAAUAGAGAUCUCUGAUCAUGCCUGAAUUUUUGUUGCAUUGAAAUUUCUACCAUUAUCAAACAUAGAAUGAACUAGGGAUACAUUAGCUUAAGACUAAAUUUUGAGAAGGAAGUUUGUACUUGCAGCCUAUAAAAUCAUGUCCAUGUUGUACGUUUCUUUGGGAAAUGAAAGAUUCUGUGUGUUCUUUUAUUUCAAGUUCACUGAAAUCACAUUUGUUUUCUCAGCUGCUUUCCAGAAGGUAACAACAUCAAUUUCAAAAAUGCUGGGGCAAGAUGUAUCAUGCAGUGCGACUCAACUUGAGAAUUCCUGGCCACAUUACCCGUAUGUCUAAUGAUCGCACAGUACAACCUUGAGAAGCUUGUAAUGAGUACACAACUGGGUGCAAGUAGUUUUGAAAUGAAUUUGCCUCAAAUGAUUUCUUGCCGGUGAUUAAUAUAACCUCUAUUCCAAAAUUCUUGGAACUGGUCAUACUAGCAAUGAAGGAUUGCAUACAUUGAAGACAUAGCUGAAGGCCUUGCGAGAGCUCUGUCAGCCCUUGUACCGGAAAACAGCUGGUCGUAGUCGCUUGUGAAUGAUAUGAUUAAUAGAUACUGCAAAAAUGAAUUGUGCCAUACAUUUUCAGCGCUCUGUGAAGAUGUCUUGGUCAUUUGUUUGAUGCUUGUUUGAUUUAUGUUGUAUUCAGCCAUAAAUCAGAGAUUCAGAACUUGGGUAUGUUUCUGGUUUCCAAAUCAAAAAAUUGCCUUGUGAUGUUAGUGUUCACUGUUUUCACAGGAGAUCAGGUUCCUUGUUAAUGAAUCAAGAAGAAGGCAAGCGCAUCCAUGUCCAAGUUCAAAUGUGUCUCCUCUAUUUUCUAUUACCCACUCAUUUAUUUUGAUUUCUUCAUUGUAAUUGAAUUAGUUUUUUAUUCCAAAUUAGUCAAAACCUCGUAGAGUCAUUAAGUUCUUUUAGCAUUUAAAGACAGAACUACGAACCAAAUGAUUUAAGUUCUUCGUUGUAAUUGAAUUUGCUUUCCCAUCUUUAAAGAUAUUAUGUUCUUUUUCACUUUUUCGAUUUGGUUAGUGGUGAUUUCUUAAAGACUCAAUCCAUUUGCGUUAAUACAUUUUUCUUUUGCCUUGAUUUCUGUUUCUUGGGGAGUUUAUACAUAUUCUUAUUUUAUGCUACACAUGCCAUAUACAGAUUCUUAUUUUAUGCUUCACAUGCCACAUGAAAGGUCAAAGCCUUGUGUGUGAUUAGAAUUUACUGGCAUCAUAGUAACUUUAAACCAUUGUGACGUUUUAGUAAUAACAGUCUGAGCUCUCCCUGAAGGAUUCAAAGCAUUUUAUUUUAUAUUAUACUCCUUUAUAUGGUUUGGCUGGUCUCUUUUAAGGCAAUUCCUGUUUAAAGUAAUCAAAAUUUUGAUUUCGAAGUGUCUUUCAACACUACCGCUAGUUCUUUAAGAAAAGUAAAUCGAUUUUGAGUCUUCUGUAUCAUCUGAUUGAAAUACAUGAAAGCACUCUUAGCUGCAAAAGUACACUUGGAGUUAUAAUAGCAUUCUGAAAUCUCCUUGAAGGAUUCAAAAGCUCUUUAUUUGCUAGUCUUUGCUUGCAAUAAACUCCUUUAAUAUACAUUGGUUGAUCUUCUUUAAAGCAAUUACCAUAAGUUCUUUAAAUAAUAAAACGAUUUUGAGUCUUCUGUAUCAUCUUGUUGAAAUACAUGAAAGCACUCUUGGCUGCAAAAAUGCACUUGGGGUUAUAUAUAAAGUCUUCAACAGAAUUUUAUUUCCCCCUUUAUCCUCAUGGUGGUUUUUUUAGUUGUUUUUUAAGAAAUCGCUUGAAGGUUCUCUUUAAAAAUAAUUUUAACAUAAGCAUUCUUUAGAAGCACUUUAGAUGUCUGGCAUUUAGAAAAUUUUGUUCCUGUGUUCACAUAAUAUAAUAUAUAUAUAGAAAGCUGACUGUAGAAUAGAGGAGAACGAGUUGGUGUUGGUCUGAACUCUGAUCUUUGAACCUCAUGUGACUCCACUACUUUUUACUUGUUCUGUACAAGGUCUUUUAGCUUUUCAAAAAGUUUUAGCUUUAUGGAUAAAAUACUGUUAAUUGUAAUCUAUAAAUAAUGAAAGGAAUUAAUAAAAUAUUAGGUAAAUUUUAUUUUCUAAAGUGUUAUGAGUUCUAAAACGGCUGUAUGUAUAUAAAUUUAUUUACACAUAUAUUUAUAAAUAUGAUUAUAUAAUAAUAUUUUAUGUGUACAUAUCAUAAUUGAUAACUAAAAUAAAUAUUUUUAUUUUAUUAAUGGUUUUUUCGUCUCAAUGUAGUUGGUAAUAAUAAUCUCUUUAGAUGUAACGAUUUUAUUUCCUAACUGAAUAAGGAAAAUUUUAGAUUUUUAUAAUAAAUGUUAAAUAUAUUUAGAAUUACAUUAAGUAUGAAAUAAUCCUCAAAAUUAGAUUUUGAAAAGUUAUUCUUUUCUUGCUUUUAAAAAUAUGUCAUAUGAUGAGAUGAUUUUACUAAAAGUGAUUUUUUUAAAAAAAAUUACUAAACAUCAAAAUUAACUCUUAACUUUUUAAAAUCAUUUCUAAUCUUCUCAUCCUAAGUUCUUUAUUGUUUUGUACAAAAUCCAAGGUUUUGACUUUUAUAAAAUGCCCACUCAAAAAUAAAUUAUUUUCUAAUUAAGAUUUGUUGUUAAUGUAUAACUCGAAGUAAUAUUAGAUAUUUGUAAUUUUAUUUCAAAAAUUUUAUUCAAAUGAUAUGGCAAGCAAUGAACAAUAGUUGAUAGCAAUUUGUUUUUUUUUUUAACAAUGUUCAAAUCAAUCAGUUGCAUUAUCUCACCAUUUUUAUGAUGUCAUGUUAUUUUAAAUGAUUUUUUUAAUUUUUAUAUAAAGCAUACGACGUGUUAACAUCAUUUGCAUAACUUGACCUUUUUUUUUUCCUACAAAUAGUAAGUCAAAUUUACUCACCCUAUUUGUACCUAAAAUCUACCUAAAACUCAUGCAUCACUGUAAAGCAAAUCCAAAGAUUGCGGUACGUUUUUCUUGGUAAGAAAUCAAUAAUUAGGUCAAGUACCGCUACUAAGCGUGCUCAAUUAAUUCUAAAAUACGGUGAUCAAACUCAUACUUCACGCAAGAGGAUAAGGGCUAAACCUCAAUUAGGCAUUAUUCAUCCAAAAUUCAUUGACUGGGCAUUCUUUGCAAGUGGUAGCAUGGGACAGCUAAGAUAAUUAGCAAAUGAUAUGGACCAUACGCACCCGUAUGUUUGUGACAUGUGAAUCUUGGCAUUAAAGGAAAGGUAAUGUGUUAAAAUUUAAUAGAGCCCAACUCUUCAUUGAAUGAUUAUCAGAUCCAACGAGCAUCCUUUGAUGGGAUUAUUUUAAGUCAAUUAUUGGUGGAUUGGGGCCCACUUGACUCUACCAAAUCGGGCUCCACCAUAUCACCUAUUAACGACCACCUGUCCUUAUCAUAAAUAGCAAAUGUCACUUGUUUUAUUUUGUAUUUUACCAAAAGCAAAGUCACUACGAGCACUAAUGAAAGUGACCCCAAUUUUGGGGGUCAUGAACUUGGGAUUAUUAUGGACACAAGAGACAAGCGCAAUGUUUCUCAUUUCUCACUAGAUAAGAUUUAAGUUAUCAACCCAAUAUUAAUAAAUUCUGCUUGAAAAGUAAAGUUUGAAGCUUCAUUUUGCGAAUAUUCAAUGGUUAACAUUUAAGGGUGCGUUUGGGAUUGAGGUUGGGCAGCUGUAGCUUAAAAGCUACAGUACUAAAGUGUUUGGUAAACACUAGCUACUGUAGCUUUUAAGCUAUGUUGAUAUAAUUUUUCACUUGUAUAAUAUAAAAUUUAUUAUAUCUUUAAUAAUUUUGAUAAAAUUAUUAUUUAAAAUUUAUAUUUACUAUAUAUUAUUAACUUUUAUUUCAUAAUUACAGCUUUUUUUUCACAGCAGCUGUAGCUUAAAAGCUACAGCACCUCAAUCCCAAACACACCCUAAGUAAUUAACCUGAUAUUAAUCCAAUUAAACUUUUUAUGUAAUCCAAGUCAAACAUAUAUUGAUAAACCUAAAUUAAUCUAAUUGGACAUAUUAUUUCAACUUGAAAAGGUGAAUCUAUCAUUUUUCAAUUAAUUUUGAAUCAAGCUAUGUAAAAUAUAAGCUUAUUAAGGACAUAUUUGAAAAAUUCAAAUUGAAUUAUUUGACAAUUACAUUUCAACUAAGUUGUACUGCUAAUUAACUUCCUCAACUUAAAAUGUAUUUUUCUCAAUUAAUUCGUAACAAAGAAUGUUAGAUGUUUUGUUCGAAUAAUAACAUUCAACAUCCUUAUUCUUUAUGAUUAUUGCAUAAAAAAUAUAUUUUAUCCAUUUACGUCACAUAUGUUCCUAAAUUGUAUAAGAAAAUCACUAAAUUUACUCUUGUAAGUUACUAUAUCAAUGAACAUGAAAUUAACUAAUCAUUAAAGUCUCGGAAUGACAUCAUGAGGGGGAUUCAGUUACAUUUAUUGAUAGGAUUAUAUAUAUACCUUCUCAAAUAUUAGUAAGAGCAAUUAAACAGAUGCAGCAAUUAAAAAUAUGGAAUUACUUAUCUCGUCAAUAACUAACGAUAUUUUUUAUCUAUGCUCGAUAGGCGUCUGAGCUAUAUUAUAAAUUGUAAUAUUUGUAGAUUGUAACAAUUAUUAAAAAAAAAAAAAAAAGCUCCCUAAGACUAAAUGACAAAAGGACUGUUUUGAAAUAGAUAGAUAAAAUAUGCCCUUAUUUGAGAAAAGGUAAAACACUAGGGAUCUAAAUGUUAUUAUAAUCCCAUGCACAAAAAUACCAGAAAAAACUAAUAACAACUAACCGAAAAUCCCAGGCGUCAUAUUCCUUUUUACCGCGUUUUAAAAUGCAACAAUGAUAUCACUACUACAAAAAUGACAUUUACUGACACUUUGUUUCUGACACUUAGUAAAAAGUGUCAGAAAUGGUGUACAUUUGGACCAUUUUCCUCCUUUAACAAGUAUGUAUCAUAAAUCAUUGAUACUAAGGUGUCAGUAGCUUAAAACUCAGUGAUUAUUGAUACUAAAGCAUCAGUGAUAAAAAAAUAAUAGUAUUAAUUUUGUUUUAAUUUGAACUCGAACUCAAGAUCUCUAAACUUAAAAUUUGUAAGUUUAGAGUGCAAACCAUUGAUGCAAGUGUUUUUAAAUUUUCAAUUUGAUUAAUUUUUUUAUUUAAUUAAAUUUUAUACAAUUACUUUGUGGACAAUAAUAAUAAUAAUAAUAGUUUUGAGAAUAAUAUUUUUUAUUUUGCCACAUGUCAGCUUGUAAUUCGUUGUUAAUAAUAAUAAUUUUACUUGACCACGUGUCGACUUAUAGUUUGUUGUUUUAUUAAAUUACAAUGCGAACAACUACACUAUAUAAUUUUUCAAAGUAUAAAAUGAAAAUAAGAAACCCUAAAUCUAACCUAAUCAAACACACCACUUCUUAAGUUGCUGCCGCCGCUCCCCUGCUCCUUGACUUUCACUGCUGCCGGCCGCUGCUCCUCGACUUUCACUGCUGUCGGCUGUCGUUCCUUGACGUCACUGCCGCCUUUGCUCUGCUGUUGCCAAGCUUCAGCCACCGACGACUAGCUAGCCACCUUUCAGUACGUCGCUGCUACCACUUUUAUGCCGUCACAUCAACUUCAGCUCAGCCAGCCACCGUUCCUUUACCGCCGAGAUCAAGAACCAUUUCUUUCUCUUCUCUCUUUUGGUACAGGUAUGAAAAUAUUGCAGAGGAGUUAAUCUGUUAAUUACCUUUCUGUACGUCGCUGCUGUCAUUCGUGUACGUCAUUGCUGCUACUCAUCUUGGUCACUGCUGCCGCUCCUCUGCCGCCACGACAAGCUUCAGCCUUUUUGACAAAACAUUUCACUUGGAAUUAUAAGCAAACCCUUUUGAGACCAUAAAAAACUAAGCCAAUUUCUUUGGUUUCAAGGCCUUGUUUUUUCACUUUGAAAUCGGAUCAUACAAUGACAAGCCAAUUGAAAACUUCUGUUCAAGAUUUCAUUGUUAAAUUCAGCUUUAUUUUUAUUAUUUGUGUUCCUUUCAUUUUCUUUCCCUUUUUUUGAUUUUUAAUUCAAUUUGGGAUUUGACAGAUAUAUUUUUUAAUUUUUAUAAAAAUUUAUCUUAUUUGCAGGAUGCUAAGGGACAGGAUGUUGAUCUUAGCAUCUACAAGGGAAAGGUUCUUUUGAUUGUCAAUCUUGCAUCACAAUGGUGUGCCUCAGCUCCUUUCAUUUUUAAUUUUUUUUCCAUAAUGAUUUAUUGAUUAUUGUUGAUGCUUCCAUUUAAUUAAUGCUAAUACGUGUUAUCUAUCUAUCGGGAGUCUAAAUUUUAUAGAAUUAUAUCAUACUCGGAAGUAUGCAUGCUCCCAAUACAAAUAAGUGUUUAUAAGAGAGGAUUUCACCCAAAAUCUUUAAUUCUUGCAAAAUGCUAGUGGCUCCGUUUGCACAAGUUUAGUUUUCAUCCAUGUUCGUUCCUUUACCAUAGCGGUUCCUUUACCACUGAGGUCAGACACCAUUUCUUUCUCUUCUCUGUUUUGGCACAGGUAUGAAAAUACUACAGAGAAGUUUCUCUAUUAAUUACCUUUUAUGAAAAUAAUAUAUAUAUAUUAUUCACAUGUUUAAUUGAGAACAUCUAAUAAUAUAGUAAUAAUAUAGUGGGCAAACUAUAGGAAGGUUGUUAGUAGACAAUUCUAAUUUUAGCUUUACUUUGCAAAUGAAAGAUUAGAAAUAUUCCGUCGAACCCAUUUUACUAUAUUGGAGGUUUGGGCUAAUCUUGUAUAGAUUUUUGCUCAGAAGAAGGAUGGUUCUCCAAGGGCGGUGGGUUGGUUUUUCUAUAGACUAUUCCCCUAUUUUCCCAUUUUGCUUUUCUUUGAGGAAACCUGGUCCAUUUUUUUUGUGUUUUCUUUCUUCAAUCAAAUAUGUAUUUCUCAAUCUCCUCUCAAAAAAUACCUAUCUCAUUUUAUUAUAUGUUUAUGAAUUACUAAUUGUAUUUUGUUAGUAUUCCAUGUUCGAAGAAGAAUAUUAGAUUGAAGAAAGAAGAAUAUUAGAUUGAAGAAAGAAGAAGUUGUUCCUUUGCUAAUCGUUUGAAACCCAGGUUUGCACUGAAUCUGAUUUUUAUCUUUAACUUUUUUACUUGACCCAUACUUGAAUCAAAUUUUUGCUCCACUUUCCUUUCUUUCGUCAAUUUAAUUAUCAAUCCACUUCAAACCUAAAAAGAUUUAGUAAUUGGGAAACCCUUUUUUUUUUAAAGAAUUGCAAAGUACUGUAAUUGGAAACUGGGUUCAUGUCUUAAAAAGUAACCUGAUUUGUAAUGUUUGGCUUAUAGUGGCCUUCUAUUUCUGUUUUUCAUCUCGGCUUGGUUAAUUUCUUUACUAGUCGUUUAAAUUUUGUUAAUUUUUAUUUUUCCUCUUUAAGCUCAUUAAAUAUCUUUUUUUUUUCAAUUUAUGGCUUUCGGUCCAACUGAUCAUCGUUGAAUGUGGGCACUAUAAAUGUUAUAGUGCUUGUUAACUUAAUGUAUUUGAUCAUAUAUUAUAGUAUUGUUUACUUUAAAUUUAGACAAUGAAAUAGAUUACAAAAAAAAUAACUUAUGCUUGUCAAGUUGUAGACACCAUCGUUCAUGUCAUCAUUACUGAAUAUUGAUGUACUUAUUAAGUGUUCUCUUUAAUACUUGAUAGAAUACUUUUGGUGAAGCAAUUUUGGUAUCAUGAUUGCAGGCUGUAAUUAACUUGGGAACGUGUAGAUUCUACAAUUUCUUUUUCUGAUUCCUUAACUUGCUUCUUUUAAUCCUACUCUUCUAUGUUGAAGUAAUUUAUGAAUAUUUUUGCUUCAAAAUAACUAAGAUAUAUUUUUCACAGUAUACUAAUUGAUUUUAUGCAUUUGUAGGUGGGAAAAAAAUGAAGCCGUGGAUGGAUAUUGAGUGACCUUGUGCUUUUUUUUUUUUUUUUUUGGGUUGGAAACUUAAUUGAGUAGUAGUUAGCACUUGUUGUUUAGAGAUUGUUGAAAAUUUAAUUUGAUACUUAUGUUAAGUCUUUUACAUAUAGUGAUGUAGUUGAAUUGUGUGAAUUUAUGUGAUGUAUUUGAGAUGUUUAUUAUAUGAAUUGUGUUGCAAGAUAUUUAAUAAUAAAUAUAUUUCGUGUUUUCUUUUGGUUGUACAACAAACACGAAAAAUAUAAUUAAAAUAAAAAUAUACUAUUAACCAAAAGCAGUAUAACAUUACUAAAUACUGACACUACAUAUUUAAAAUAACAAUAAGAAUUUUUUAUAUUAUCGAGUCAGUUUCUGAUACUAUAGUCACAUAAAUUACUGACAUGUAAAUAGUAUCAUUAAAUACCAACAUCAUCGUGUCAUUAUUUUAGUGAUACUAUAGUGAAACAAAUUACUGACACAAAAAUUACUGACACCAAAAAUUAGUGUCAGUGUGUUCUGGCUUGAGCAACACUGACACAAUUAACAAGUGUCAAUAAAAGUAAUUACUGACGCUAAAUUAGUGUCAGUAAAACUCAUUUUUCUAGUAGUGUAUUCUCACAAAAGUUGGUACAAAGGUUUGUACAACCAGGGCCUCUUUGUAAAUUAUUUCAAAGUUUUGUGUUAUUUUUUAAAUUUAUGAAUUUUGUUAAUUUUGAUUGAUUGGAGCAUUUCUCCUUCCAUCUCUUCUACAUCUAUCUUUAAAUUUCUUUAAAAUUUUGACUAUAUCUUUAUAGAGUUCUAAAUGAUUAUCUUUUUCAUAAAAAUCUAUACUUAAAUUAAUCCCUGAAUUUAUAAUCAUUUGUCUUCUUUGAGUCAUAGACCAAAUUUUUUCUUCUAACAUAUCUAUAUAUACUCCUAAGCUAUCUUUGCAGCUUAGAUACAUUCUAUCAAAGCUUUCGCAUAUAAAUUGUAAUUUGAGAUCUGCAUCUUGAAUCAACAUGUCUAUAUUAUCCAUUGUUUUACGCUCGAUUUUGAGUUCUAUUAUUAGUCUUGCACAUGUCUUGGAUUAUUUCGAGGGUAGUUAAAAUUGAUUCUAUUAAUGCUAUCCUGUUUUCUUCUUCAAAAGAAUCAAAUAUUUCUGAAUCAUUAAUUUCUUUUAUUUCUUCAUACAAGCGUUUGUUUGUCGCUAAUCUUGUUUUAAUCAAGGAAACUGUAUAAGCAGCUUGAUAUUCUUGACAAAAGUCUAAAUGAUCUAUUGCAUCUAGAAAUUUAUUAAUAGAUCUUUCCAUUUUUAAGAAAUUGAGUUACUCUUAUCACUUCCAAUCUUUUAACAUCUCAGAAAACAAACAAGGCCCAACAUGCUUCCGUUUGUAGCUAAAAUAAAAGAAGAGUUCAUAUCACUAACCAGUGUAAUAUCUCUCGGAAUUCUGAGAUAGACUCACUAAUUGCCUCUAACCAUAGAGAGGUCCAUGGUUAGCACCACUAUAGCUCCACAUAUCAUACAAAAUCACUUCAACGACUGUUCCAUAUGGCCCAAAGCAACACACAGCAGACUGGCCUAAUAGGAUAUGUUUAAGUGAUUUUCUUGCAGUUGUCUCUGGAAGAGUGCUUAGUAAUAGAAAAUCUUCUUCGUUUAGUACAAGUAUUGGCAUGUAAGGUUCUUGGUUAAUUUUUAAAAGAUGUAUAAGAUAUCUAGAAGAUGAUAAUUUCACUCAAAAGAGUUUUAUUUAUUCCAUCAUUGAAAUUGUUUACAGAGGAAGGUUACAGAGAAUACAGAGGUAAUUGAAGGUUAGACAUCUGAUAUAUUUCCUUUCUUACAUGCUUUCAUUUAUAUAUCUCUCUAGAGAUAAGAUUAUUUCUUUUACAUAACACAUGUUCGAUCCUUGUGGUGGAAUCUCAAUUUCCUUUUGAUAAGGUGACCCCUUCUUUAUCAUUGAAGCUAGUAGUUGUCUUCUUUUCAUGUUGGCAGACAUGAAAUAUCUGGUUCUGGUGAGCUUUUUCUUUUUUGGAAUCUGUCUUUUUGAAUUAUUGAUACUUUUUGGAUAGCACCUUUUAUCUUUUUCAGUGGUCCUCGUCACGUGCCAAUUAUCAGAUCUUCAUCUAUAGACAUGUCUUCCCCACUAGAAUCUCUUUUUUUGAUCCUUCGUAGUAGUAGCCACAUGAUGAUUGAUGCUUUAGCACCUUAUAUAUCUCGUGGUGUGUUAGCAAGGUGGAUUCCACGAGAUUUUCGAAUAUGCCCUUUUUCUUUUCUAAUAUGUUAUCCUCAUCUUUAUCAAAUUCACAUUUACAAUAUAAUUCUUUGAAGCUACAUGUAUAUUCUUCUAAAUAACAUAUAUUACAUAUUUCAAGCCUUGUUAGCUUCAUUAAAUUUUCUAUCUGUUUUCUUUUUAUUUCUUGUUGAAAAUCAAUUUCCUAAUCUUCUCCCAAGAAUUUUUUUCUUAUUUCAUUUUUGAAUCUAUUUAAAACCUGAUCAACACUUUCGUUUCGAUUAUUAUUUUCUCCAUACAAUAUUCUAUUUUUAUGGUUAUCAUUUAAUCCCAUAAACCAAUGAGAAACAAUUCCUAUAAACGAAAUUUUAAGGAAUUCUAUACUAUUAUCCCUAUCAAUUUUGUGAAAUGCAAAAGCCAUUUUCAUAGAUUUAACCCAAGCGGUAAUCGUUUUAUCUCUAUCUUUGAUACAGUCUAAAUCUAACCAUACACCAUCAUGGUUGAUUGGUCUUUCUCUAUAUUCUCCUGGAGUUUUAUAAUCUUUUUUAGGCUUGUUAAUCCUAAAAUAUUGACCUUGUAAUCUUUCCUGAGUUGGUAUUUCUUCCCUAACAUAGGAAGCUCCAUUACUAGUUUCUCCUUGUUAAAAACCAUUUGGCUUUGAUUCAUUCAUUUUUAGAUGUUCUAUUCUAUUUUCAAUAUCCUGCAAAUUAAUGACUAUAUCACCUUCUUCUUCGGAUUCAGAUUCUUUAUUAGAUAUCUCUUGAUUAGGUAAUUCUAUGUUUUCACUUAGCAUUCUUAGACUUAUUAAUUUUUUGUCUUUGUUUAUUUUGUUAAAUAUCGGUUUAGAUAUUGUUAUCAUUUCUUUAUCUUUAAGUUCAUUAUAGUAAAUUAUGGUAUCUUGUAAAAUUUUGUUUUGUUUAUUGAUCUUCUGUACUUCAAUCCUUUUGUAAUUUUCCAUUUAUGCUUAUAGCGAAUUUAUUACCAAGUUGUUCAACAAUUUUUUCAAAUUUUUGUAGUUGGAUUUCAAUCUUGUUUGAAUUUAUUUUCAAUUGAACUUUUGUUCAUAAUAUUAAAGAUUUCUUGUUUUAAUCUAUCUUGAUCUUCAAUAUUAAAGUCUUUUAUUAAUAGCUUAACAAAAUCAAAUUCUUCACUCAUUCGCUCUCCUAUCAUUUUGACUUGUCUUAUAUUUUCAGCAUCAAAGCUUUUAAUCUCAAGUAUCUCAUUUAUACUUUCUAUAUCAUCUAUGGUUAAAUUAGGGUUUCCUAAUUUAUUUAAUAAAUAUAAUGAAAUCCAAUUUAAUUGAUUAUUUCCCCACAUAUCGGAAUCAUUUACUAAAUCAAAUGGUUGAAAUCUUCCAUAAGUAAAUCCUCUAUGCCUAUAGCUAGAAGGUGGUAAUAUGUUGGUUUCAAUAUUUUGAGAAAUUAACAAUGGUUUUGGUAAUUUAUUCAUAGUACCAUCUGCAUAAUAUCUCAUUAUAUUCUAAUAAGUAUUUAUGACAUAUAAUAUUUCUUAUAUCCUUAGGGAUAUUGUUUUAUGUUAAUCCUUUAUGUAUAUAGCAAAGUUUAUACAUAAUUAAAUCUUUAUAUCCUAUUAGCAUGUUGCUAGAAGGAUAAUAUUUACUUCUGAUUCUUUUAUUUUUCCAAUUGUAUUCACCUCGUUGUUUAACAUUUAAAAAUCCGUUGUAAUCUAUUAUAAGAUCAUCUACAUAAUCUUCAAUAGAGUUAAUAUUCCAUUGUUUCCAUGAAAAAUUAUUUCUAUAUACUUCUCUCCUGAUCCUAAAGAGAAGAAUAGGAUCAAUAUUUAAAUUUCUAAUUUUUAUUAUGAUGAGUUCUCCAAUUUUAAAUUCAUGAACUCUAACUAAAUAAAACUGUAUUAAUUGUUUAUCAUCCAAUAUAUUAACUUCUGAAUAAUAAUAUUGUUUAUGUUUUGUUAUAUUAUCUUUAAUUGUAUUUCUAUCUAUCAUUAAAUUAUAUCUUCCAUUAUUAAUGGAAUAAAUAACUGUUUCGUCUAUUUUUAUAUUUUAAACCAAAAACUUGGCUCUAAUACCGUUUUGCAGAAAUCAACUAAACCCAAAAUCCAAAUGAAUUCAAAUAGGGAUGUAUAUGAUUAAUUGUUAAGAUUUUAUCUAAAUUUUGUAAUUAUAAUUUUUCAAAACUCACAGUUUUGUGCAAUCAUUUGUGUAAUCCGUUGUGAGAAUGUCUUUUUCCUUGCAUCUAAGGCAACAAAGUGGAAAACGCGUACCAACGACUCACAUAACAAUAUAACAUCUGUCCCGGAUGGAGCCGGUUGUUCAUGUCAGCAACCUACUUUGAAACGACACGUGGACCGCAAUUUGUUCUUGUUCUCAACGUUGCUAUGAAAGAAAGCAUUUUUUUCCCCUUUUCUUCUUCAUUUUUUAAAGAAAUAUUUUACUAUAUAUUUAAAAAAAAAAAUCGUUGCAAUCUGAAGAUAUUAAAUUGUGGAUCUUGUAUUGUGUGAUAAGUCCGGCAUGCAAUUUUGGGCCAGCAUACCGCGCGCAUGGGAGCAUUCACAAAGAAUCUCUCGUCACUAUCGAAAACUUUUAAUAGUCAAUACAAAUGCUUCCGUUUCAUCCCAUAAACAGAUAAAAUUCACAUCUGUACACAUCUACUUUUCUUUGCUAGAUAGAGUUCCUCUGCAUUUCCCAAUUGCCUAAAGAGAAGGGGAAAAGAAAAAGAGGGCCAAAAAAUGCCUGAAAUGGUAAGGAACAAGCAAGUGAUAUUGAAGGACUAUGUGUCUGGUUUCCCAAAAGAAACAGACAUGUACAUGACCGAAAGUUCCAUAGAAUUGAAGGUGCCAAAAGGUUCAAAUGGGGUUCUUUUAAAGAACUUGUUUGGGAGAAAUACGUCGACGAGACCAGGCAUGGUGAGCAUAUAUCUGAUGGCAGAGUUCUGCGAACCGGUGUGUUCCGUAAAAGCCUGGUGCACGGGGGAACAGGAGCAGAAGUAUCCUGCUCGUCCACGAGCACGUCAUCCGCGAGGCCAAUUUCCUGUAAGAGGCAUAAGGUCAUUCCGGCUAGAGGUCGAGAGGCGAGGAGACCCGGUCGACGGCAGUUGGCAAGACAUGCUCCCCAGCCCGAGAAUCUAGGCACGACAGCCACGCUUUCCCCAGAACCGUGGCGUAACACGCAAGAUCUCACAGAACCACGACAGCCACGCUUUCCCCAGAACCGUGGCGUAACACGCAAGAUCUCACAGAACCACGACAGCCACGCUUUCCCCAGAACCGUGGCGUAACACGCAAGAUCUCACAGAACCACGACAGCCACGCUUUCCCCAGAACCGUGGCGUAACACGCAAGAUCUCACAGAACCACGACAACCACGCUUUCCCCAGAACCGUGGCGUAACACGCAAGAUCUCACAGAACCACGACAGCCACGCUUUCCCCAGAACCGUGGCGUAACACGCAAGAUCCCACGUUUGCCCAUAACGCAGCAGUCAGAGUCCCAUACCGUCUCGGAAAAAGCGGAAAACUGGGAUUCAGGGGAAGCCUAUAAAAAGGUAGCCAACGAAGGUAAAAGGGUUGGCAUUUUUGAGAUUAUAAAAGAAAUGAAAAAAGAAGAGAAAACGACGAGAAAGCCAUAAGAUCUGUGGCAAGUGUCCCCCGAACCUUCAUAUCUGACUUGAGCGUCGGAGGGUUUGCGCCGGGAAAACAACCGGCGUACUCUGACUUGUCUGUGUGCGCAGGAACCUCUGGAGAAGAAGCCUCACGUGGAGACCUCCUGGUCGUGAAGAAGUUGAUCGGACAGAGAUCCUGGUCGUAGAACGAGGAGAACCAGAAUCCCGCAUCAACAUUUUGGCGCCGUCUGUGGGGAGUGGAGCAAAAAGCUUCUGUUGAUAGCAAGAAGAGGGGUGAAGCAAGUGAAAAGCAAUGGAGACAGGAGGAAGUAGUGCACAAGGGGGUGAUAGGAUUAACGAUUCCGUGACGCUGAGGGAGAUAGUCAGUGAAGCACGGGAAAAAGUCAUGUUCGACCGGAUGGAACGGAUAGAAAAGCAGAUGGAGACCUUGACAACCAUCCUGCAUGAGCUGCGGAGCGAGCGAAGUAUAAUCCAAGAGGGAAGGGUGAGAGGCGGUGGAGUGGCACCAGGUCCCGAUAGUGCGGGGAGAAGUCAAACCACCGGGAGAUUUGGUGGUGAGAGAGGUAACGUACCUCUGCGGGGAGAAUUUCAUAGAGAAAGAGAGCAGUCCCCGGCAAGACAGACUGGCGACGAGGACGACGGGGUGGUGAAUGCAGAGGAAACAGAGUUGAGGCAACACUUGCAUGAUGUAGAGCAAGAGCGGGAUUAAGUCGCAGCACGUGACCCUGGUCGUGCAGUGCAGCUGGAGGAGGAAGUGCGCAGACUAGCGCAGAUAAUCGACGACAUGCAAGGAAGGAACAGAGCCCCUGGUUGGAGGAUAAUGCUGGAUGGAGAAUCACCGCUCGCAGCAGAGAUCAUGAGGGCAGUUAUUCCGAGAGAUUUCCGCCUCCCAGACCUCAGAUACUCGGGAAGAACUGAUCCGUUGGUGCACAUAGAGCGCUUCAACGACAUAACUAGGGUACAAGGAUUAUCUCAAUCCCAAAGGUGCAGAGUGUUCCCACUAUCCCUUGAGGGACGUGCACGAGAAUGGUACAGGAAACUUCCUCGGGGCAGCAUUAAAACCUUCGAGCAGAUGUGCUAGGAAUUCGCGGAGCAGUUUAGUGGGGCAAUGGCGCCGGAAGAUGACAUGAUGGAGCUGAAAAGCAUGAAACAGGGGGAGCAAGAAACCCUUCGGGAAUUCAUCAAGAGGUUUCAUCGGGCUGUCCUCGACUUGGGAGCCUUCAACCACCCUCAGGCGUUAAGGGGAUUGAAAGAAGGGGUGAAGAUAGGAAGGCUGUGGUACAAUUUGAGAAGCCCAGCUAUUCAAACGUAUGCAGCCGCAUACGAACAGGCUAAGAGAGACAUCGAGAUUGAAGAGGAGAAGGCUGCACGGAUUAAGACAGACCAGUUAGAAGGGCUGGGGAGGAAAGAGAAGAAAGCAUUACCGGGGAAUGGGCCGAUCAGGAGGAGGGACCACCAGGCCUCCGGUAGUGGAGCAGGAGGUCGGGUAGCCGCUUACCAGCCUCAUCAAAGGCCACCACAGUAUCAGCGCAGCAGGGCGCAACCUCCUCGUUCCCCAGCUAGGGAGCCUUGGAAAAGGCAUGAGUCGGCAUCUGGUGGUCUCCAACAACACCCCCACGGUAUCAGAGCGAGCAGACCAGAAGUACUUCCACCGCCCCCAACUCAGAGCGGGGCAAACAGGGAAAGAGCAGUGCACCUGAUCGACCAGAACCCGGACUAUGGGCGGUACACUUCCUUGAAGAUGUCCCUGGAUGAGGUGUACGAGGCCAUAAAGGAUCGAGGGCUGCUACACCUCCCUACACCAAUAACAAAGCUACCUAACAGGAGGGAUAGAGGACGUUAUUGUAAGUUCCAUGGCACCCAUGGCCAUACCACAGCAGAGUGUAGAGAUCUCAAGACCCAGGUCGAAGAUUUGGUGAGAAAUCGGUACCUGGACGAGUUUAUGGAUGGGACUUUCCCGAUGGGGGCCACAACAGGUGAAGGGGAGCAGAGUGGCGGAAACGUGAGGCGCGAGCAGCCCGCAGUAAGGGUGAUAGCUGGGGGCCCGACAUUGGCCGGAGAUUCCAACAGAUCGAGAAAAAAUUAUGCUAGGUACGCCAUGACCAGUAAAGAGGUACUCCUCAACACCCCAGCAGCCAAACGAGCAAGGGUCAGGCAAGUGCCAAUCAUGUGGACGGAUGAGGAUGAGGAAGGGAUUCUAUACCCCCAUGAGGAUGCUUUAGUCAUCAAGGCUACUGUCGCUAGCAAGAAGUUUGACCGGAUACUGAUUGAUACAGGGAGCUCAGUUGAUGUGUUAUUUAAGUCAACCCUGGAAGAGAUGGGAAUAGCCGACCGGAAGUUGGAAUAUACCAAUACCUCCUUGAAGGGGUUCGGAGGAGGGAAGCUGGUCCCUCUGGGCGUGGUCGAGCUGCCUAUCACAAUUGGGAGCUCCCCGACAGAAAGAACAAUGAUACUGGACUUUGUCGUAGUGGAUGAGGAAGGUCCUUACCAGAUGAUCCUAGGUCGGCCAUUUUUAAGGAUGAGCAAAGCGGUGUUGUCCAAUCAUUAUCUGGCUCUGAAGUACCGGGUGAACGGGGUAGUAGGAGUGGUACGAGGAGACCAGAGGAUCGCAAGAAGCUGCUACUCCUCGGCAGCAAGGGAAGCAAUGCAGAUAACAUCCCUCGAUACCCGAGUGGAAAACAAGAAGGGCAGACAAGAACCUGUAGAGGAUCUGGAAACAGUAAGCCUGGGACCAGAGAACCCGGGAAAGAUGAUCAGAAUCGGGUCGAGACUUAAGGGAGAGCAAAAGCAGGAGUUGGUGAAAUGCUUACAGGCUCAUGCUGAUGUGUUUGCUUGGACACAUGAAGACAUGCCAGGGAUUGACCCUGAGGUAGCAUGUCAUAAGCUGGCAAUAAAGAAAGGUGCUCGGGCAGUAAGGCAGAAGAGGAGGUGUUUCAACCAGGAGAGGUAUGAGGCUAUAAAUGGCGAGGUGGAGAAGCUCUUGAGAGCAGGGUUCAUUCGGGAAGUCAGUUACCCUGAGUGGAUAUCGAAUGUGGUGUUGGUAAAGAAGGCAAACGGCAAGUGGAGGAUGUGUGUGGAUUUCACAGACCUCAAUAAGGCGUGCCCAAAAGACAGCUUCCCUUUACCAAAGAUCGAUCAGCUAGUAGAUUCAACGGCUGGACAUGGUCUGCUUAGCUUCAUGGACGCGUUCUCGGGAUACAACCAGAUCCCCAUGUACGAGCAGGAUGAGGAGAGCACGGCUUUCAUCACUAACCAAGGUUUGUUCUGUUACAGGGUAAUGCCAUUCGGUCUCAAAAAUGCCGGGGCCACCUAUCAAAGGCUGGUGAACAAAGUCUUUAAGCCGUUGAUUGGGAAAACCAUGGAGGUGUACGUGGAUGACAUGAUCACCAAGUCCAAAAUCCCGGAGGAACAUGUCAGACACCUCGAGGAGACAUUCGAGCUUUUGAGGAAGUAUAAGAUGAAGCUCAACCCGGAGAAGUGUGCUUUUGGGGUCGAGUCGGGGAAAUUCCUUGGAUUCAUGGUGAGCCAUAGGGGGAUUGAAGCAAAUCCCGAGAAAAUCCAGGCGAUUGUGCAAAUGACGUCUCCCCGUAACCUGAAGGAGAUGCAGAGCCUCACGGGGAGGUUGGCGGCGUUGAGCAGAUUCAUAGCCAAGGCUACAGAUAAGUGUCAGCCGUUCUUUCAAGUGAUGAGGAGGGGAAAGAAAACAGAAUGGACCUCAGAAUGCGAGGAAGCCUUCCGGAACUUGAAGCAAUACUUGCAGCAAGCUCCGCUGCUGUCCACACCGAGGGAUGGGGACAAGUUAUAUCUGUAUUUAGCGGUAUCGGCUCGGGCCGUCAGUUCUGUUCUGGUGAGAGAGGAAGAAGGAGUUCAGUAUCCGAUAUAUUACACCAGCAAGGCCCUGCUCGACGCUGAGACCAGAUACCCACCGUUGGAGAAAUGGGCACUUGCCCUUGUGGUUGCUGCUCGGAAGUUGAGGCCAUAUUUUCAAGCAUUCCCGGUCUUGGUAAUAACAAACCAGCCAUUGCGUCAAACUCUGCACAAGCCAGAUGCCUCUGGUCGGCUCGUCAAGUGGGCUGUAGAGCUGAGCGAGUUCGACAUAGACUAUAAGCCCCGCGCAGCGAUAAAAGCCCAGGCAAUGGCCGAUUUCGUAGCUGAAUUCACAGAGCCCGAAGUAUGCUUAGAUCAACAAGAGGCAGAUAUAGGCAAUGACGAAACUCAAGUAUGGCAGAUGUCUGUGGAUGGGUCAUCAGGGGAGCGGGGUUCAGGAGUAGGGAUUGUCUUGGAAGGCCCAGAGGGGGAGGAGAUCUCUUAUGCUGUAAAAUUGGAAUUUGCAGCCACGAAUAACCAGGCAGAGUAUGAAGCCUUGAUAGCAGGUCUGGAAUUGGCUAAGGCCGUGAAAGCAAACAAAGUUAAGAUCAGAACUGAUUCCCAGCUGGUAGCGAAUCAUGUCAGUGAAAGAUUCCAACCAAGAGAGGAGAAGAUGGGGCAGUACCUGAAGAUAGUCAAGCAGAUGAUGGGGAAGUUCGAAGCAGUGGAGGUGAUACAGAUCCCCAGGGAGCAGAAUAGUCGAGCAGACAUUUUGGCUAGGAUGGCAGCAGUAGCCGACCCAAAAAUGCCAAAGUCGGUCCCUCUGGAGGUGAAGUCCGGCCCAAGUAUCGAUCAGAAUUUGGGGGUGAUGCGGAUAGAACAAAAAUGCUCGUGGAGGGACCCGAUAGUUUCAUACCUUAGAGACGGGGUAUUACCACCAGAUAAGAUGCGAGCUCGCAAGCUUAGAGCCCAGGCCUCGAGAUACACGAUGAUUGAUGGGGUACUGUAUCGGCGAGGAUAUACACUACCGUUCCUUCGGUGUUUGGAUGAGGACGACGCGGAUUACGUACUAAGAGAAGUACACGAAGGAAUUUGCGGAAAUCAUUCUGGCGGGAGGUCCCUGGCCCAUAAGGUUCUAAGGCAGGGAUAUUUCUGGCCGACAAUGCACCAGGAUGCGCAAGAGAAGACCAGGAGUUGUGUAAGUUGCCAGAGUUUUGCAAAUUUCUCUAACCAACCACCAGAGAAGCUUACCUCCAUGACCUCCCCCUGGCCAUUUGCUCAAUGGGGAAUUGAUCUGAUCGGCCCAUUGCCAAAGGCACGGGGAGCAGCAACACAUGCAAUAGUUGCUAUAGAUUACUUCACGAAGUGGAUAGAGGUAGAAGCCCUUAGCAGGAUCACAGAGAAGAAAACAACAGACUUCGUGUGGAGAAACCUGGUCUGUCGAUACGGGAUCCCUUAUGCCUUGGUAACGGAUAAUGGCAGGCAGUUCGAUAACCACAGCUUCAGGGAUUUCUGCCAGAACCUCGGGAUAGAGCUGAAGUAUUGCUCGCCUGCUCACCCUCAAUUGAAUGGACAAGUAGAAGCAGCCAACAAGACCAUCAAGAGGCUUUUAAAAACCAGGCUUGGAGCAAAAAAGGGUGCGUGGGUUGACGAGCUGUCAGGUGUGCUAUGGGCAUACAGAACAACCCACAAAACCGCAACUGGGGAGACACCGUUCGCUUUGGCUUUCGGACAUGAAGCGGUCGUGCCGGCUGAGAUAGGAACGACCACACACCGGACAAAUCAUUUCAAUGAGCAGGAGAACGACGAGCAGAUAUGUUUGAAUCUUGAUCUGCUAACGGAAAGGUGGGAGCAAGCAGCCGAGCGAUCAGUCAUUUACCAACAGAGGGUUGCUCGGUAUUAUAACCAGAAGGUGAACAUACGGCAAUUCAGGGUCGGAGACUGGGUACUGAGAAGAGUGAAUCAGAGCACCAAAGAUUCGACUCAAGGAGUGCUGGGACCGAAUUGGGAAGGGCCAUAUAGAGUCAAGCAGAUAGCGGGACCCGGAGCUUACAGGCUGGUUCGCACGGACGGCCACGAGGUGAAACGCCCAUGGAACGCAGCACACCUCCGAAAAUACUUCCAGUAAGACUUGUUCACAUGUGAAAACUAUUUUUGCUCAUGUUCAUUACCGUUUAUCUUUCACGCUUAUUGUCCAAACAAUUUCAUGUAAGUCGAAUCCUGCCAUUAAUGGAACGUCGAGGAAUUUCUUUCGCUUGAAACCGAGAAAAUUUUCCAAGGCAUGCAAAGGCUCACCAAGUCUCAAAGCCUGUCUUAUGGCGAGACAGAAGCCAAGCAUGCCAGGAUCUGCUCGGCCACGAGAAGGCAAGCAGAAUCCCAAUCCUCGAAGAAUCCAAGGCAUGCAAAGGCUCACCAAGUCUCAAAGCCUGUCUUAUGGCGAGACAGAAGCCAAGCAUGCCAGGAUCUGCUCGGCCACGAGAAGGCAAGCAGAAUCCCAAUCCUCGAAGAAUCCAAGGCAUGCAAAGGCUCACCAAGUCUCAAAGCCUGUUUUAUGGCGAGACAGAAGCCAAGCAUGCCAGGAUCUGCUCGGCCACUAGAAGGCGAGCAGACUCCAAAGCAUUCGAAGAAAUGCCCAAGGCAUGCAAAGGCUCGACAAAGUCUCAAAGCCUGUUUUAUGGCGAGACAGAAGCCAAGCAUGCCAGGAUCUGCUCGGCCACUAGAAGGCGAGCAGACUCCAAAGCAUUCGAAGAAAUGCCCAAGGCAUGCAAAGGCUCGACAAAGUCUCAAAGCCUGUUUUAUGGCGAGACAGAAGCCAAGCAUGCCAGGAUCUGCUCGACUACUAGAAGGCGAGCAGACUCCAAAGCAUUCGAAGAAAUGCCCAAGGCAUGCAAAGGCUCGACAAAGUCUCAAAGCCUGUUUUAUGGCGAGACAGAAGCCAAGCAUGCCAGGAUCUGCUCGGCCACUAGAAGGCGAGCAGACUCCAAAGCAUUCGAAGAAAUGCCCAAGGCAUGCAAAGGCUCGACAAAGUCUCAAAGCCUGUUUUAUGGCGAGACAGAAGCCAAGCAUGCCAGGAUCUGCUCGGCCACUAGAAGGCGAGCAGACUCCAAAGCAUUCGAAGAAAUGCCCAAGGCAUGCAAAGGCUCGACAAAGUCUCAAAGCCUGUUUUAUGGCGAGACAGAAGCCAAGCAUGCCAGGAUCUGCUCGACUACUAGAAGACGAGCAGACUCCAAAGCAUUCGAAGAAAUGCCCAAGGCAUGCAAAGGCUCGACAAAGUCUCAAAGCCUGUUUUAUGGCGAGACAGAAGCCAAGCAUGCCAGGAUCUGCUCGACUACUAGAAGGCGAGCAGACUCCAAAGCAUUCGAAGAAAUGCCCAAGGCAUGCAAAGGCUCGACAAAGUCUCAAAGCCUGUUUUAUGGCGAGACAGAAGCCAAGCAUGCCAGGAUCUGCUCGACUACUAGAAGGCGAGCAGACUCCAAAGCAUUCGAAGUAAUGCCCAAGGCAUGCAAAGGCUCGACAAAGUCUCAAAGCCUGUUUUAUGGCGAGACAGAAGCCAAGCAUGCCAGGAUCUGCUCGACUACUAGAAGGCGAGCAGACUCCAAAGCAUUCGAAGUAAUGCCCAAGGCAUGCAAAGGCUCGACAAAGUCUCAAAGCCUGUUUUAUGGCGAGACAGAAGCCAAGCAUGCCAGGAUCUGCUCGACUACUAGAAGGCGAGCAGACUCCAAAGCAUUCGAAGUAAUGCCCAAGGCAUGCAAAGACUCACCAAGUCUCAAAGCCUGUUUUAUGGCGAGGCAGAAGCCAAACGUGCCAGGAUCUGCUCGACCACUAGAAGGCGAGCAGUCUCCAAAGCAUUCGAAGAAUCUCCAAAGGCAUGUGGCAAAACCAUGAGCCAAGCCGGAACCUGCUCGUCUAGACAGAGACAAGCAGAUUCUCAACCGAAAAUUAAUUCAUAAUUACAUCACAAGAAAGUAAUCAAAAACCAUUUUUAUUAAUUUGUUAAUAAUUAACAGAGGGGAUAAUCUUCAUGAACAUUGUUCAUUACAAUACAAGAAAUAUAUCAGGAAGAUGGUGGACCAGUAAGCCCGGCAGCAUCGGUUGGCUGGACCUCCUCAGGUGCAGGAGGGGUAUCACCAGUUGCGUCCGGGGGGUGCUCGCCUCGCCAACAUCAGCAGGGACUGCACGAGCAGGAGAGUCUUCCUCCUCAAUCACGAUCGGCUCUACCCCAUCGGCAUCUUCCUUGGCCGCCUCCUCAUCCAUAUGUUGAGCAACACCAGCUGCAAGGUCAUCCAUCUUCAGAUCAGGGUGUUGCUUCCCGAGGACGGCCAUGAUGCAACGAUAGGAAUGCCGAAGUCCCUGGUCGUACUGGUUGUCAGCCUCCCUCUCCAAGUUCUCGACCUGAGCUCGGUGGGAGUCGCGGAGAGAUUCGAGCUGAGCCUCAUACAUAGCCUUCUGCCUUUGCAGAUCCUCCUUGACCGUGGUAAGCUCCUCCUCGAGGGAAAUGGCUUUUGCUUGAGCAAGUGAUUCUUGCUCUAUUAACUUCAGAUUCUCGAGAUUCAGCUCCCCUGCUUUCUUCUCGGCAACGUCAGCUCUGGUCGUCGCCGAUUGAAUAUCCUCCUUCAUCUUCCGGUCGUAGCGGCCAACCUUAGCCUUGUAAUAGGUGGUCAUGCAGCUGAGGUGGAAAGCGCUAUGCUGCAUGGCCCCCACCAGCUCACCCAAGGUGCGGCCGUCAAAGUCCUCCAAGUCCUUCUUGCUCAUGAGUUUAGUUAACUCAUUGAGGUAGGGGACCAGGUGUUCUGCUCGGCUGUCAGGUAAGCGAGAUCGAGGCCCGACAGGAGGAAAAGAGGAAGCAGGAUCUGUAGCUGCUCCACUAGCUUCCCCGACUUUUACAGGAGCAGGAGGUAAAAUCUUCAAGGGUGGGACCUGCUGCAUGAUGUUGGCCCGCUUUGCAGCAGGGGCAUUCUUAUUCUGGUCCCUCUUCGUGGUGGGAGGUCGGGAACGUUUUCGGGUCAGAGCCCCAAUCACAGCGUCCUCCAUCCUAUGGCCAGGAAGUAUCAAGCGAGACUCGAGCAAGUUGUAUGUAGUUAGCAGUUCUCGGCUCGAGCAGGAAUUGGCUAGUACAGCCUCGACCCGUUUGAGCUGGUCAGGUUCAAGCGGGAAGUGGACACCCCAAGAAACUACAACACAAACAGACACUUGGUUAGAGACAAGCCAAUAAAGCAAGAACAAUUAUGGAUGCAAGACAUCUAGAGCGAGCAGGCAACCUGGGACCGUGAAACGGGGUGGGACGCGACAAUCCUUCCCGCCUAUUUGUGCAACUUGACCCCAAGGACCCCCAGCAAAAAAGAAUUUCCUCUUCCAAGCCCCACCACCACCGGUUGGAAGAUCGGUUAUGGAUUUCCGGCUCUUGGUGCUAGAUUGGAAGUAGUACCAGCCGGCAUCUUUGGGGCUGCUCUUUAGCUGGUACAAGUGCUUCACCUCGUCAACCGUGGGCUCGCUUUGGCAACAUCUGUCCCACAAUAUGAACAGACCAGAGAGCACUCUCCACCCAUUGGGAUUCAGCUGACCAGGAGCUAGAUUUAGCCCGUUAAGUAUCCGGGCAAAGUAGGGUUGCAAGGGACACCUCAGCCCGUACUUAAAGCUCUCUAGAAACAGGGUAACGUAUCCCCUAGGAGGCCGGCUGGGAGCAUCCUUCUUUCCUGGGACCUUGAGAGGUAUCUCACCAGGAAUGCUAUACCUAAGCUGGAGGUCAUUGAGCUCGUCAAACAAGGUCGUGCACGUCAUGUAAUCAAUGGCAUAAUCGCGCGACAAGGCUCUGCCUCCUACUGUACCCCGUUCCUCUAGUCGUGAUGUUCCAGAUGGAGACACCUCACCAGAGUCACCUUCCCCAUUCUCACUUAAGGUGUCCUCAGAGCCAGAAGGUCCCCCCUCACCAUUGCUUCCGCUCGUGGAGGUUGUUUGGGGGGACAUCCUCCUAGCACUAGUCCCGACACUAAACCUAAUGGGUUCUAAGGGGAUCCCGGGGUCAAAAGCCGGAUCAGUGAGCAGACUAGGCAGGAAACUUAGUUCGUCGUCAUCAAUCUCAACGACUUUCUCCUUACCUUUCGACAUUCCCUAAGCCCUAACCACAACACCACCAACUACUACCUAAACAGAAGAGAAGAGAAAUUAUCUACAACUAUCCGAGACCAAGGAGAUAGAAGAAAUACCUGAAGUAAUGGUUCAGUCGGUGAAAGUCAGAGAUGGAGGCCUUUUAUGCCGGAACUUCUUUGCCGGAGAAACAGAGACGGAGACGGAGUGAAUGAUGAAUAUGCCGUUCGAGAGGAUUUGGUUUUCCUAAUGAAGACGGACUCUUGGGUUGCCAGCAUUUAACGGCGCCGAAUCCCGAGGGUCUCAUAACCGUCGGUUUGAAAUUCAAAUGAAGGGGGGGAUUUCUGCCACGUCACCUCGUCCGCAAUUAAAUGCGACAUGACUCUUGGCAGCCUUUUCCAAUCCCACGCGGGCGAGUACUAACGAGUUUCUACUGCUGGUCCACUACAUUACCCAACACCAGAAACUGGGGGACCGGUGUUUGGGAGAAAUACGUCGAUGAGACCAGGCAUGGUGAGCAGAUAUCUGAUGGCAGAGUUCUGCGAACCGGUGUGUUCCGUAAAAGCCUGGUGCACGGGGGAACAUGAGCAGAAGUAUCCUGCUCGUCCACGAGCACGUCAUCCGCGAGGCAAAUUUCCUGUAAGAGGCAUAAGGUCAUUCCGGCUAGAGGUCGAGAGGCGAGGAGACCCGGUCGACGGCAGUUGGCAAGACAUGCUCCCCAGCCCGAGAAUCUAGGCACGACAGCCACGCUUUCCCCAGAACUGUGGCGUAACACGCAAGAUCUCACAGAACCACGACAGCCACGCUUUCCCCAGAACCGUGGCGUAACACGCAAGAUCUCACAGAACCACGACAGCCACGCUUUCCCCAGAACCGUGGCAUAACACGCAAGAUCUCACAGAACCACGACAGCCACGCUUUCCCCAGAACCGUGGCGUAACACGCAAGAUCUCACAGAACCACGACAGCCACGCUUUCCCCAGAACCGUGGCGUAACACGCAAGAUCCCACGUUUGCCCAUAACGCAGCAGUCAGAGUCCCAUACCGUCUCAGAAAAAGCGGAAAACUGGGAUUCAGGGGAAGCCUAUAAAAAGGUAGCCAACGAAGGUAAAAGGGUUGGCAUUUUUGAGAUUAUAAAAGAAAUGAAAAAAGAAGAGAAAACGACGAAAAAGCCAUAAGAUCUGUGGCAAGUGUCCCCCGAACCUUCAUAUCUGACUUGAGCGUCGGAGGGUUUGCGCCGGGAAAACAACCGGCGUACUCUGACUUGUCUGUGUGCGCAGGAACCUCUGGAGAAGAAGCCUCACGUGGAGACCUCCUGGUCGUGAAGAAGUUGAUCGGGCAGAGAUCCUGGUCGUAGAACGAGGAGAACCGGAAUCCCGCAUCAACAGAACUUGUACUUGUCCUGUGAUCCGUACAUGCGACCACGAAUGACCUACAUCGAAGGAUCUUACGUUGAAUCCUUUAAACCUGGCUUGGUUAGUGCACUCGCUCAUGGCCACGCUUUUCAUUUCCAUGGCUUCUUGCUCUUUUGUUAUAGAAAAUUUAUUUUUGGUUGCAGUUUGAUUCGACUGCUAAAAUCUCGUGCGAUAAUUGUAUAAGAUAUCUAGAGUUUGAACUUCUUUCACAUUAGGGUUCAAGGAAGUUAACUUAAAUGAUUUUCAAAAUUUUAAAUGUGUACCAAAGAAUUUAAUUUCAUAGCUUAAACUUAUAUUUUGAUCAUACUCUAACUUUGGACAGGAAAAAUUAUAUUUUUCCUUUAGUUCUUUGCCUUGGUGUAUGUUGUGUGAAGUACUUGUGCUUGAAAAUGAAUUGCUGACACAGAAAUUUCUAUGAAUGCAUGCAGCCCAUAAGUGGAUAUGGGGUGGGUAAAGUUUUGGAUUCAGAGAAUCCAGAGUUCAACAAAGGUGACUUGGUUUGGGGAAUGACUGGAUGGGAAGAGUAUAGUCUCAUUACGGCUCCACACUUGUUUAAAAUUCAACACACAGAUGUGCCUCUUUCUUACUAUACUGGAAUCCUCGGUAAACUUUUUGUUUGCACAAUUUAUGUGAGCAAAUUGUGUCUUCUUUUUCAUAUGUAAAUGUUUUUGAUAUCUUGAUGUGAAGGUAGAAAAUUGCAUGUUUUGAGUUUUUGCAUAUUUGAUGGAAACACAGAACUGUACCUGAAUCUUUCAGAACCCCCUUCUCUUUGAAGUUUGAACACUUUUCUUGAAUGUAUCAACUUUAUUUAUGGGAUAUGUUGCCAAAUUGGAAAAUCUAUUCGUUAUAAAACUUUCCUUUGACAGUUUAAUCUAAGCAGAUGUUAAUUCUGCAAAUAGAGUGUGCCUUAGAUUAGUUUCAUAGAUUUGUCUCCUUCUGUACAGUAAAAACUUUGAGCAUUUUCGCCAUAUUCUGAUCAAUACACUCCAACUAGUUAGUUCUUGAGGCGUUUUAUGGUUUCGUGGAGUGAGGCAAGAUGUAUACGUUUGCAAAUUGGCAAUGUCUUUCUCUUGAUGGGUUGAGAGUUGUGAGUGUCAACAGGAAACAAGACCUCUGUUUUAUGAACUCCAAAAAGUUAUUCUGUUAAAAAGAUCGAGACAGAGGCCAUACUAUAUUUAUUAUUGCUAUAAAAGUGUGAAAAAAUAUUCUUUAUUUAAUAUUCUAAACGAUUGAGCCAUUUAGUUAUGAUACUCUGCUGUAUUGGGGCUAAUAAUCUAAGUCGGUUCAAAGUGGUAAAUUUAUAAAUUGAUAGGUAUGCCUGGUAUGACCGCUUACGUUGGAUUUUAUGAGGUCUGCUCUCUUAAGCAAGGAGAGUGUGUCUUCAUAUCCGCAGCAUCUGGUGCAGUUGGACAGCUUGUGGGGCAGUUUGCAAAGUUAUUGGGUUGCUAUGUCGUCGGAAGUGCUGGAAGCAAAGACAAGGUAUGUAAAAUUAGAAUUUGAUCAACAGAUUUGGAGUGUUUGUUUACAGAGAAAAUCUAAGAGAAAAUGUAAGAAACUUUAGCUGAGAAUAUUCAUUUUGUUCAACUUAAUAACAGAAUGAGAUUACAAAGCUUAUAUACUGCUAUCAAGAAUCAUCUUAACACAUACAUCAUUUUCACGUGUAUUUAUCUUUGAAAGAAGCUAAAUAACCAGCUUAACAAACUCACAACUACUUUGCUGACUGGACUGCCACGUCACCAUAACUAACUUAACUAAUCCAAUCAGUUAAUCACAGUUAACACAUAUUCUUAUCAUCCCCCCUCAAGCUUAAGUUCGGGGAAGGACAUUAAGCUUGGUACGAAGAUAAGCAAACUGAUCAAAAGAGAGGGGCUUGGUGAGAAUGUCUGCAAGUUGUUCUGAACUGGAAACAUGACUGAUCGUGAGUUGCUUCUGGGCAAUAUGCUCUCGAAUAAAAUGAAGAUCCAACUCAAUGUGCUUUGUUCGAGAGUGAUACUUAGGAUUGCUAGCUAAUGCCUCAGCACUCUGAUUAUCACAUUAUAGAACAGGACUUUGAGUUGGCUGAAUUUGCAGUUCUUGAAGCAAAUAAGUGAGCCAAAGAAUUUCAGAGGUUGCCGAAGCAAGAGCUCUAUAUUCAGACUCUGCUGAGGAACGAGAAACAAUGGUUUGUUUCUUGGAGGACCAAGAAAUAAUAUUGUUUCCUAAGAAUACACAAUACCCUCCAGUAGACUUUCGAUCAUCAGGAUCAGCUGCCCAAUCAGCAUCAGAAAAUGCUGUUAAAGUCACAGAGCCUGAAUUGAAGAAUUGAAUCCCAAAGUGUGAAGUAGCUUGAAGAUAUCGAAGAACCCUUUUACAAGCUUGCCAGUGUGCAAUGGUUGGAUGAGCUAGGAACUGACUAAGCUUGUUAACAGGAUAAGCUAUAUCAGGUCUUGUUAGCAACACAUACUGAAGAGAGCCCACAAUACUUCUGUAUAAUGAGGGAUUAUCAAAAACUUCACCACUGUCCUUUGUAAGCUUAUCACCUGGACUCAUAGGAGUAUUAAAACCUUUGCUGUCAAGCAUAUUUACUUUUCUAAGGAUAUCACCAAUGUAUUUGGUCUGAGAUAAAUGCAGUCCCUGAACAGAGGGUGUUACUUCAGUACCAAGAAAGUAGUUAAACUCUCCUAGAUCUUUGAGUGCAAACUCUGAAUGAAGAUAUUGAAUAACAGCCUCAAUAUGUUGAGAAUUAGAACCAGUAACUAAAAUAUCAUCAACAUAUAUAAGAAUGAGCACAAUAUCAUGGUCAAUAUGCUGAAUAAACAUGGAUGUAUCAGAUUUUGAGGAUUGAAAACCUUUAUGGAGUAAGGACCCUUUCAACCUCUCAUACCAAGCUCUAGGAGCUUGCUUGAGACCAUAUAAGGCUUUGUUUAACUUGCAAACAUAUGAUGGAUUUGCAAAGUCUAUAAAACCUUGUGGCUGAUGCAUGAACACAUCCUCUUCAAGCAUACCAUUGAGAAACGCAUUAUUAACAUCCAGCUGUCUAAUCUGCCAAUGAUGCAACACUGCUAGACUGAGGACAACUCUGACUGUGCAAGGUUUCACAACUGGGCUGAAGGUCUCAAAGAAAUCCACCCCUUGAGUUUGAUGAUAACCCUUGGCAACCAACCUAGCUUUGUAUUUGGAAAUGCUGCCAUCAGGGUUAUACUUCACCCUAAAUACCCACUUAUUACCAACUAUUUUAGCAGCACUUUCAGAGGGCACUAGAGUCCAGGUUUGAUUUCUUUGCAGAGCAUCAAAUUCCUCUUUCAUAGCACAAAACCACUUGGAGUCAUGCAAGGCACUUUUGACACUAGUUGGCUCAAGAUUUUCAGUAGCUGCUAGAUAUGACUUGGGUUUGAAGAUACCAGCUUUAGCUCUAGUAAUCAUUGGGUGAGAUGGUAAUGAAGAUGAGUGAGUUGGUUCAGCUGAAGGAUGAGAAUAAGAAGGUUGUGCUGAACUGGAACUUGAUGGAGGAGACAUUGCUGAAUGAAAAUUAGGAGAUGAUGACUCUACAUUGCUACUGUCAACCUGAGCAGAAGUUUGAAGAAAAGAAAGUUGUACUGGUGAAGAAGGGACAUCAACAUUGGAGACUUGUGAGGUAGAGUGUUUUAGAAACAAUUCUGUGUUAGGAAACUCAGUUUCAUUAAAAACAACAUGUCGAGCAACAAACACUUUACCAGAUGAAUUUAAACACUUAUAACCUUUAUGAAGUGGACUGUAACCAAUGAAAAUACAUUUUUGAGUAUGAAAGUCAAGUUUAUGCUGGUUAUAAGGUCUGAGGAAUGGAAAACAGGAGCAACCAAAAACCUUUGGAAACUGAUAGUCAGGCAGAUGAUUAUGUAAUUUCUGAAAUGGGGAUAGAUUGUUUAGAACUGAUGUGGGCAUUCUGUUGAUAAGGAAAGAAGCAGUGUGGAAUGCUUCCCACCAAAAGGAGAGAGGUAACUGUGAUUGAGCUAGAAGUGUCAGACCUGUUUCAACAAUAUGCCUGUGUUUCCUCUCAACAACACCAUUUUGAUGGUGUGUAUAUGGACAACUAUACCUAAAACAUAUACCCUCUUGCUGAAGAAAGGUUUUAAAAGCUAUAAAUUCACCCCCCAUAUCUGACUGUAGUGUUUUGAUAGACAAGGAGAACUGUUUUUCAACAAGAAGUUUGAAGUGUUUGAAGGUUUCUAAGGCUUCUGACUUUGCUGUGAGAGGAAAAAUCCAAGAAUAUCGAGUGAAAUCAUCCACAAAAGAGAUAUAAUAUCUGUAUCCACUCAUUGAAUAUUCAGGAGCUGGUCCCCAUAAAUCUGUAUAUAGAAGCUCAAGUGGUGCUUUUGUUUUAAUGGUAGUGACAGAAAAAUGAAGCUGAUGCAUUUUGCCAUGUUGACAAGCAUCACAGAAGCUAAUGAAUUUAUUUGAAAAGCAAUGUGUGGGAAGACUUUUAAUAAUUGUUUGCAAAGCAUGUUUAUUGGGAUGACCAUAUCUAUUAUGUAACAACUGAACUGAUAUCUUUCCAGCUCUAGAAGAAUUUCCAGAAACAGAACAUGCAAAAGCUUCAGACAUAUUUACAUUAUCCAACUUUGACACAUGAUUAUUUGACUCUGGUAAAGAGUUUACAACUUUAUUAUCAAAACAAAAUGACAACAUGGAACUUGGUUUAAAAAGAUUUGGAUUGCAAUCUGCAGAGUAAGGAGAGAAGACAUCAAGUGACAGUAGCUUGUAAAGACCACCUUUAACAAUCCCCUGUGCCAGCAAAGUUCCCUCCUUCUUGUCCUUAAUAAAGCACAUGGUGGAACAAAAUUCAAUGAUUAUGUUAUUAUCCAAAAGAAGUUUAGAUAUACUGAUGAGGUUUUUGGUUAUUUUAGGAACACACAAAGUAUUGGUUAAGGAUAAACAUGUGCCAAAAGAAGUAGAAAGAUGAGUGCAGCCAAUAUGUGUGAUAGUAAGACCUUGUCCAUUUCCAACAAACAACAGUUGAGUACCAUUAUAAGGAUUACCUUCAACCAGGUUUUGCACAUUGUUGGUGAGAUGAUGAGUGGCUCCACUGUCCAGAUACCAUCCCUGAUCAGCAACUCCUUCUGAGGUAGCCAUAUAAGCUGUUCUUGGCCCUGGGUUCUGCAUUGGAGAAUUUGAAACAAAAUUUCUGUUAAAUCUGUUUCUACAAUCAACAGCUGAAUGGUUUGGUUUAAAACAUAUUUGGCAGGUAAUAUUUCCUCUGCCACCUCCUCUACCAAAGCCACCAGAGGACCCUGGAUUUCCACCAUUAAAACCACCAUUUCCACUAAAUCCACCAGUAUUUCCAUUAAAACCACCAGAGUUUGAACCUCUUCCUUGGUUUCCAAACCAGCCUCUCCCUGAGUUUUGAUCCAUAAAGCCACCUCUGCCAGAUCCAUAACCUCCUCUAUUGUUGAAAUUUCCAUUUCCAUUUCUAUUCACAAAAUUAACAUUCCAAUUACCCUGGUUAUUAGUAUUCCAAUUAGCAUUGCUUCCUGACUUCUUCUGAUUAUUACCAGUCUGAGCCACAUUAGCACUAAAAUUCACCUUAGUUUCCUUAGCUACACCAGAAUGAUUACUCUCAAGCCUAGCUUCAUGAGAUAGCAACAUAGAAUAAGCCUCAUUGAUGCUCAUUUUAAGAGCAUUUGCCUCAAUAUAAACUACAACAGGAUAGUAAGCCUGACCUAGCCCUGAGAUUAAAUGUGUAAUGAAGUCAAUAGAGCUAACUGAACUUCCAGCCAUUGCUAAUUCAUCAGUUACUGACCUUAGUUUACAAAAAUAUUCAGUAAUUGACAUGGAUCCUUUCUUAAGAUUGUUUAGCAGCAUCUUUAAAUGCACUUUCUUAGCUGCUGUUUCAAAUCCAAACUGUUCCUCUAAGCUUAUCCAAAGUUCUCGAGAGUUUUUAGAAUUUACCACAAUGCUUAAGAUCUCCACACUGAUUGAAGAUAGAAGCCAGCUCAAGAUCAUCUGAUCUUGCCUUUUCCAAGUAGUGUAGGCAGGAUUUUCUGAGAUGACUGCCGCAUCUGUGCUUGUUGAUUCACCAGUCAGCAGCUGGUUUGGACAGGUACGUGAUCCAUCAAGAAAACCUUCCAGAUCAUUUGCUCGAAUGGCUGAAAGGAUCUGAGAUUUCCAUAUAGUAUAAUUCGAUCUGUCAAGCUUGAUUGGUGUGGCGAAAGUAAAUGUUGAGAUUGCGGAAGAAACAUUUGUACUAAGACUUGAAGAAGCCAUGAUCAAGAAGUGAUUCAAGGCUCUGAUACCAAAUUAGAAUUUGAUCAACAGAUUUGGAGUGUUUGUUUACAGAGAAAAUCUAAGAGAAAAUGUAAGAAACUUUAGCUGAGAAUAUUCAUUUUGUUCAACUUAAUAACAGAUUGAGAUUACAAAGCUUAUAUACUGCUAUCAAGAAUCAUCUUAACACAUACAUCAUUUUCACGUGUAUUUAUCUUUGAGAGAAGCUAAAUAACCAGCUUAACAAACUCACAACUACUUUGCUGACUGGACUGCCACGUCACCAUAACUAACUUAACUAAUCCAAUCAGUUAAUCACAGUUAACACAUAUUCUUAUCAUGUAAUCUGUGUGAAGUACUUGAUUGUUUCCAUGUUACUUUCAAACAUUUAAAUUAAAAAGGAAAUUUUCAUAAUCUUGCCUUUUCUAUGAUUUUCAAAACCAAGGUUGAUCUACUGAAGAACAAGUUUGGGUUCGACGAGGCAUUUAACUAUAAAGAAGAAGCUGAUUUGAAUGCAGCAUUGAAAAGGUUAGCAUCAAUAAAUGCCUUAGCUUGAUGCAGCUUGAUGAAGUAUGAUACACAUUUCUGACCAAUAUACUGCGUUCCCUGAUCUCUUACUUGAAAUAUCUUGGUUUGAGAACCUCAUGCCAAUGCCUUUAACAUUUUGGCAGGUACUUUCCUGAAGGAAUUGAUAUAUAUUUUGAAAACGUUGGUGGAAAAACGCUUGAUGCAGUGCUACCCAACAUGAAAAUCCGUGGUCGAAUUGCUGCAUGCGGUAUGAUCUCACAGUACAAUCUUGACAAGCCUGAAGGUGUGCACAACUUGAUGUAUCUUGUUUUGAAACGGCUUCGAAUGGAAGGAUUCAUUGUUCUCGAUCACUAUCACCUUUAUCCAAAGUUUCUGGAAAUGAUCAUUCCUCACAUCAAAGAAGGGAAGCUUGUAUACGUCGAAGACAUGGCUGAAGGUCUGGAGAGUGCUCCGGCAGCUCUCAUCGGUCUAUUCUCUGGCCAGAAUGUUGGGAAACAGGUGGUUGCUGUUGCUCCUGAAUGAAGAACAAGUUAGUGUUGUAUGUUCUUUUACCCUUUGACACAAAACUUCAAUGUCAAAGAGAGAAUGCUGCUCAUACUGCUUUAUAAAAUAAUCAAAUGAGUGCAAGUUUCAUGAUAUUUGCUGAAUAAAAUAUUGGAAAUUAAGCAGCUAGCCUAGCUCCUUCUUGUAGUUGCAGUUUGAAUGAUGCUGCUGCACAACUGCUGCCGAAAAAAAUCCUUAAUAGAUGAUUAGCAAGGUUUCAAAAAUAAAAAUAAAUGUUUGUGCAAUGUGCCGAAUAUGACAGCCACAAAGAAAGAGCAUACAAAUUGAUUGGUUUUAUGUCUUCUCUAGGAGAAAGCUACAAUACAAGAAAUUGUAUUGAUGGAGCCUUGGACCAAAUUUCUUAUUUAAAUUUUUAAUUUUUUUUAUUAAAUUACUUAUGUUAUUAUGGUUUAUAUUUUUAGAAAUUCUUUAGAAAUUAAUACAGAACUAGUAGCAAGUUGAGAAAUCUACUGAAUGGUCAAGAUAUGAUAAUGUUUAUUGAAUUAAAUUAACAAUCAUCAUUUUCAUAAAUUAUUGUCAGGAUAUUUGAUUCAUGUCAGGUGUAAGUAACUAAGAGAGCGUUUGGGACAGACACCACAGUUGCUCCCGAUGCUUUAUUUUAGGGAAAUAUCCCCUGGAAUAAUGCAUAGGGCGCAGCCCCAAACGGACCCUAAAUGUGCUAAAAAAAAAUUAAUGAGUUGGGUGUGUUUGAUAUUCAUUUGUUGUAAUUCUUUUAAUAAUUAUUGUAGAAAAAAAUAUGAUAAAAAAUUUAUAAUUAUAAAUAAAAAUUAAUAAUAUAAUAAAUAAAAUUUUUAAACAAUAAUUUUAAUAAAAUAAUAAAUAUAUUAUCAAUUUUUCAUCGUUAAUAUUUAAGUCACAAUAAUAAAUAUUUAUUAAACACUUUAAUACUAUAACUAACACUACAACUUUUGAAUUAUAACAGUACAUUCUAAAGACCGUGGAACAAUAGUACAAAAGGUGCUCGUCGUGUAAACAACACAUGGGACCCAAGCAAUAAAUGUUUCUGAUCCUCAACUUUCCUCAUCACUGUCCCUGCAAACAAUUCUGAUUUUCUUGUCUGAUAAAAAAACUGAGAAACAAUGGCGGCCGAACAAGAAGCUGUGAGCAAUAAUGUAAAGCCACAAAUUUUCAUAAUAUUAAAUUAUGAAAAUUGGGCUUUCAUUGAGAAUUAUGGGUGGCCUAUAACCCUUAUUAAGAAAGGGAUACUAAUUAUAAAUACAAGUUAUUUAUGAGAUAGUUUUGAAAAAAUGUUAUUUUUCCUUAUUAAAUAAGGUUUCUUAAGACUCCCUAUAAAUUCAUACUUUUUCCCUUCCAUGACCCUAAGUCCAUGACGUUUAUUCUUCUUCUCUGCUGCUCUUUACGCUCCUACCCAAAUCAUAGGAUUCAAACCUUUGUUUAGGAGAGAAUCAAAGCGACGAGUAAGUUAUUCUCCCUAUUCUCAACAGAUUUCUAAUCACUCUAUCUAGGGUUUAUAUUGGCACGAUUCUAGAUGGUUAUAGAUCAUAAUGCAUGAUUUAGAAUGUAUUUAGGCUUUGUUUAGGGUUUUGAUUUAUUAUGAGUUUAGUUAAUCAAUCCUUGACGUAUUAAGCACAGGAUAAUUCUGGACAAUAUGAGUAUCUCGAAUUUAAACCUAUAUUUUCUGAACGAGUUUUAUUAUAAAAUUUAUAUUUCUGGAAACUAGACAUGUAGGGCUUCUUGAGUAAAUUUUAUUUCAUUAAAUUCGACUUCGUUUUCAAUUUUAUAUUUAUUUUCGAAAUAGAAACCACUGCACUGGAAAACUGCGAUUCCAGCAUUGCGAUCGGAUUCACAAGACUAUUUGUACCACCAAACGAACUCGGAAAAUUCUGAAAGUUUAUAUGUAGGUUAAUAUAUGUGUCUAGGAUUACCAGUUUUAAUUUCAUAAUUUUCUGAUUAGUAUUUUAUUUUAUAAAAAUCACAGAACCCGUUCUGUUUGGUUUAGAUUAUGUGAAAACAGUUUCGAAUUUGCUGAGAAAUAAAUAGUUUCGAAAAUGUUUUUGAUAUCGGAUCCUCUUGCAAAUUUUACAUAGGGUACUCAUGGAUGUCCAGAAUAGUCCCAUAGAAUAUUAUAUCAUUCUGAGUCUUAGAUUAAGAGUUAAAUUCUGAGAAUCAGACCUGUACGGGUAUGAAUUAGAAAAUCAGAUUCUUAGAAUAAGUUAUUAAUUGUCAUAUCUUGUAUUUGUUUAAGGUGUUGAAGGUGAUUGAGGUUCUUAGAAGCUUAAAGGUGUGUUAAUUCAAAUUCAUUUGUCGAGGUAAGUUACUUCAUUCCUACUAUAUUGGAUAUGUAUAAGUAUUUUGAUAUUAUCAUUAUAAGUAUAAAUGUUUUCAUACUAUUUAGAAGAUUAAUGGAUUUUCAUAACAAAAUUAGCUUAUGAAAAUGUUUUCAAAACCUAAUUUCUUUUUAACAAAGCAUUUUAUAAAUACUUUUUAAAUAUGUAAGUUAUUUUGUUACAUGCCUACUUUUAUGAUUUUAUUUAUAAAAUAUUUUGCAAGCCUAAAUUAUUGUUAUGGACUUUUAUGAAUCCGAUACGAAUGUUUUAUGCCUAUGCAUGAUUUCAAUUAUAUAUGAUUGUAUGGGGGCCACCUCUUGGGACUAUAUGGGGGCCACCUCUUGAAGGCCAAAGUGUCGCAAAGUGCCACAUAUAGUGCAAAGUGCCACGUAUAAGUCAUUAUGUUUUGGCUCAUUGUCCGUAGUCAUUUUGAUUCUGAUUCUGAUCAUAUAAUACGAUAUAUGUCUGUUUUGGACCAGUACUGGGUUUCUGUUCUGAGUGUGCACACGAUAUUUUGAUUCUGUUUCUGGCCGGGUCACUGGGACUAUAGGUGACACUAUGUGACAAGAGCUAACCUUUUGUUUUCUGUAUACGUAUUAUAUGAUUUACUUCAUAAGUAAAUAUGCUUUUGGAUAUUCGGAAUUAUUAAGAAUUUAUGUUAUGUUAUCGUGAUAUAUUGUUUUAUGAAAUUUAUGGAUUAUGAUAUAUGUUUUAAACAAAAGAAGGCUUGCAAUAUUUUUGUAUCGAUAGGCCCAGUAUGUUAGAAAUUGUUUUACUUACCGAGUUGACGGCUCACCCCUCGUCAUUACUUUUUGCAGAUUAAGUUUCUUUUGAGAGGUGCGCUUAGCUUUGGAGUUAGUAAUUUUCCGUUUCCAUUUGCCAUUUGAAUAAGAGGAGGAAUAAACUCGUGUUUCUAUUUAGUUAUUUCUAUUAUGAACGUGUAAUUUGGAGUUUGAGACUUUUGUUAUUAUUUUUAUGUCCUCGGGAGAGAUUAUUUAGUAUUAGACGUUAGAAUUUGUGGAUUUAUUUGAAUAAGAAUUGGAGGUAUUUCAGUUUGAAACUUAUGAGUAAAGAUUAUGAUUUGUGAGUAACCUCCUUCUUCACGUGCUCCGCACGUGUUAGAUUUGGGGUGUUACAAAUAAGCGGGUGAUUCUAAGCAACUAUGUGACAGGUUUUCCAAAAGAAUCAGACAUGAAGAUAACAAGUGGAUCAAUAAAGCUGAAGGUAGCAGACUGUUCAAAAGACACGGUGCUUUUGAAGAAUCUUUAUCUUUCUUGUGAUCCUUACAUGCGAGAGCGUAUGAGCAAGCUUGAUAGCCCUUCUUUUGUUGAUUCAUUCCAUCCUGGUGAGGUUAGUUCAUCACGGCCCAUCUCUUGAUUUUUUUUUUUCAUUUGCUUCAAGUUUUGAUGAGUUUCUGAGGUAAUUUGUACGGUUUUGGAAUUUGAACACAAUUUGUGAUUUUGGUGCUGUAACUGUCAUUAAUGAUAUGUAGUAAUUCAAUCGGAAUUUGGAUUUAGUGCUGAUAUGAUCUCUGCUCAUUUUUUUAAAUCUUGUGUCCACAUGCAUUUUUGAAAUCUGGUACGGUUGAGAUUGUAUGUAGAUUAACCUACGUACAGUAUUCUUGUCUAAUGACUACUAACCACAACCUUAUGAGACGAUCGAAACCAAGCUCGGAUCAAUAAUCCAAUCGAGAGAGGAUCAUAACUGAAGCUUAUCGUGUGUGGGAAUAUUUCGGUUAAAUUGUAAUCAUGAUCAUGAAUCAUGCAGGGAAAAGGGAAGUUGAGGUCAAUUUAUGCACUUGAUGGAAUUAAAGAACCAAUAUUUGAUUUUGGUUUACAUUAUUUCUCAGUAAUGGUGACUUUGUGAUGUUAAAUUUAUGCAGCCUAUAAACGGAUAUGGGGUGGCCAAAGUUUUGGAUUCUACACAUCCAAAUAAUGCAAAAGAUGACUUGGUUUGGGGCUUUACCGGGUGGGAGCAGUACAGUCUCGUUACAGCUCCGCAGCUUUUGAUUAAAAUUCAUCAUAAAGAUGUGCCACCUUCAUACUAUACCAGGAUCCUCGGUAAUGAUUUUUGUUACACAUUAAGCUUUGCUUAUAGUAAUAUCAAUACAUAUGCUGCUUAAAUGCUUUCUGAUUUUUUGCCGGCCAUUGUCCAUUUUGCCCGGGAGACUAUAAUUGAAGGAAUUUACUGAAGGAAUGCUGAUUGUUGGGAAUUUGAUUAUUCUAGGUAUGCCUGGUGUAACUGCAUACGCUGGUUUAUAUGAAGUUUGCUCUCCGAAGAAAGGAGAGUAUGUCUAUGUAUCUACAGCAUCUGGAGCUGUUGGUCAGCUUGUUGGACAGUUUGCAAAAUUAGCUGGUUGCUAUGUUGUUGGAAGUGCUGGAAGCAAAGAAAAGGUGCUGUUAUAUCAUUCUUAAGUAGUAAAUAUAGCACCGUGCCUUCUAGCAGAAUUUUACAUGCUUUAUGUUCCAACUAAGCAUCCAUAUUUGAUCGUGAUAAUUAGCAAGGUCAAUAAUUUUUUUUUGACUAUUUUUUCAACGUAAGGUCGAUUUGUUGAAGAACAAGUUUGGACGAUGCUUUUAACUACAAGGAAGAGCCAGACUUGGAUGCAGCGCUCAAAAGGUCAGCUGCAACAAACGUUUCAACUCUAAUAUUUCAUUUUAAUAUUACAGAGCUUUGGUUGAAGUGUGUGAGUUGAUCCCAGAAACGUAACUUCAUCAGUGUCUCUGUUUUCAAAAAACAGGACAAAUUAAAAUCUGAUUUUGCGUUAAAAUUUCCCAGAUGUUUCCCUCAAGGAAUCGACAUCUAUUUCGAAAAUGUUGGGGGAAAGAUGCUGGACGCAGUGCUACUCAACAUGAGGCUCCGGGGCCGCAUUGCGGUAAGCAGUAUGAUCUCACAGUACAACCUGGAAAAACCCGAAGGCAUACACAACUUAGAGCAACUGAUCGGGAAACGGAUUCGCCUGGAAGGAUUUCUAGCAGGUGAUUACUAUCACCUCUAUCUGAAAUUCUUGGAACUGGUCAUUCCUGCAAUCAGAGAAGGAAAGAUGGUGUAUGUGGAAGACAUAGCCGAAGGACUCGAGAAAAUUUCUCGUAACUGCUACACAUUAAACGCGUUUCACAUUUCCACUCUCUCUCUAUAAAUAAACACGCACAUAAAAUUUCUCACUAUCCAAAAACAAAAUCUACAUAAAAAAUGGCGGGUGAAGAAGGAGUGAGCAACAAGCAGGUGAUUCUGAGCAACUACGUGACAGGGUUUCCCAAAGAAUCAGACAUGAAGAUAAUAGCAGGCUCAAUAAACCUCAGGUGCCAGAGGGUUCAAAAGACACAGUGCUUUUGAAGAAUCUUUGUCUUUCCUGUGAUCCUUACAUGAGAGGACGUGUGAGCGAGCUUGAUAAGC
rnacentral:lncRNA from 1 species